rnacentral:lncRNA from 1 species
AAGUUAACAAGUCUACAAUAAUUUCAAUGCAGUAUCAUCACUUUCCGAUUUCAGAUUUCCCAGCAGUACAAACAGCUCUAACAACUGCUCUUGAAAUCUAUAAGGCUAACCAGCUCUGGAUAUACAACAAACAUUUGGAAGCAAUGUUUAAAGCUUCAACUAUAGCUCAACCAGAGCGUGAUUUUUCAAUUUUCAUUUCCCAUUGAAUUUUUUUUUUUUUUCUGAAUAACAAGUGGCUAGAGCACGCAUAUACUUGAAAGGUGAUUGCUGCCGCAAAACAAUUUACAGCAAGGGUAGAUCAAGCAUCAAUGAAGCGGAUAUCAAAUGUAUGGGGAUGUAUCUGCCACACAUUUAAUGCUGCAUAUUCCUCUAAACAUUCUUUCAACUGUGCUUCACUGUAUCCCUGUGCAUAAGAAAAUAAUCUCAAGCCAUAAGAACCAAAGUCGUGUUGGAGAAGAAGAGAUUAUUUUGUUCAAGUAAACAACAAAUAUGUAAAAGGUAAAGACAUCACAGAAUAGCAAAGAAGAAAGAAUUACAAUAAAAUCACGAUCACAUUCAGUGACACAGAGGAGCUUCCAUGUCUGCAGAUAUGAACCUCCUAAGCUAAUAAGUACACUUUGCAAAAGAAAGAACAGUAAAUAUUGGAAUACUUGAUUUGAAACUGUUUGUAAUUGAAACAAGUUCUCCAAACAGCCUGAGUCUUAAAUCGGGUGUCAAAUCAUCUAAACAUGAUUACUAAUUGACCUAACCCUCUUUGUCGAGGACACAUACCGUGAUAAAUGCACCACUGAAGGCCCAGGUGACAGAACAUUCACUCAAGUUCUGGAAUGCAGUGGAAAGCCAUCUUUUGAUCUUUUUUUUUUUUUUGGGUUACUGGUCAUGUUUUGAGAAAAUACAGUUCAAACAAAAUUCCCUUAACGGCAUCAUAAUUCUCUGUUCUUAUGAAGUGCAGGGUCAAAUCGAGACAUGAGACUACAUAAAAGAAACCCCACAAACAGAGUAGUUCUUCUCCUUUAGAUAAGUAUUUUGGAGGACUAAAACACAUGGUGUCCAACAAUCAACAACUAAAUUGCAUCCUCAAAAGUACUAACCUUCCUAGAGAUCCAGUUGAGUGCAUGGGCAUAGCUCACAUCCAACUUGUUACUCCUUGCAGCCUCAUCCCGCAAAAUUGAGUAAAUAUCAGAUAUAGCAUCCAGACCAGAUCUCUGACGAUCAUCAGAAUACAAAGAGAACUUUGACAUCUGCAUUAACCUUAGUGCCUCAUCCACAUCACUCUGAGCAACAGUUUCUGAGAAUCGAAGCCUUGCAAGUGCCUGUAAACCAAAAGGAAACAUCAAAUUCAAAUGCUUUAAUAUAAAUCAAGAAUAGCUGCCAUACAUAGAUAUCUAUGGUUCCACUGGUGGAGACACGUGCCCAACACAUCACUGGCAGGAAAGAAUCCACUUCAUACAAAACUGUCGACAGUUUCCGUCUAAAUCUUAUAUCCCCAUUUCAGACCCAGAAAGAUCUGUGUGCCUAGGAACCACAUCUACCCAUCAGAACAAGUAGUUCCCAUCCCAUUCCCACCCUGGAGCCCACUUCAAUAAUUAAAAAAAAAAAAAAUGAAGAUAUCAGAAUCUAACAUUAGCCACAAAAACAUGGUGUCUGAACUUACAGCUGAUAUCCGCAGAAUGCUAAGUAAAGUUCGCACUGUUGUAUAUGAAUGAGGCGUAUUUGAUUUAGCUUCUUCUUGCCGGAUAUUGGAGUAUGCUGCAGCAAUAUAUUCCUCCAGUUCUCUUGGGACACAAGGGGAUAAUCUUCUUGCAGCAGAAAUAUAUGCACUACAAGCCAGGAAAAAUUAAUGUGAUAAGAAAUUGCAAAAGAAUCCAUGGUUUGGAUAACCAGAAAAUUGAGAAAUAACCAUGACAUUUAUUUCCUUUUGAACCAUUCAUAAUCUGAGAAGACAAGUCCUUUAUGCAGAAGUAUCUUUCAACAUGUAUGACAGAAGGGAGAAGUAAAUCAUUACAAAGUAAAGAAUGCCUAUCAUAAAUGUUAAGCCCUUUUACUUGGACCACAAAAGACUUGGCAUCAGCACUCGCACAGAUAUGAAAAACACUCAAAUGUAAAGACAUGCAGCCGCACAAGAAGUAGCAUGUCAGUAAACAAAAUGCACCUUCUAUAAACCAAACACGAUCAGCGAGGUAACAAAACUCCUUUCUUCAACCAAUAUAGCUUUGUAAAUUUUAGCUUUAGACCCAAUAUCUACUGCUUUAAUUAUCUAUCUCAACGGCCUAUCUAAUGAAUGAAAAAACAAAUUAUCAUAUUGUAACUUUUGUUAGCAUAAUUUAAAUACCAUAAUACAAGGAUCCGUGAUGUAGAAACUAACGGCUAUAAUUAAAAAACAAUCAUCCACGAAUUAGUAGUAAUCAUUUGUGAAAGGAAACUUUAAAUUACCGAAGAAUAGCUGGCUCAAGAGGAGUAAACCCAAGAGCAGGAGACUCCUUGUUCUGGUGCACAUAGACAACAUGCCUAGCCAUUUCAAGAUCACUAUCCAUAUCCGCUCGAUCUAGGAUCAGCCACAGAAGAUCAAACCUUGAUAGAAGGGCAGGAGGGAGAUUGAUAUUUUCAGCAGGAGUUCUCCGUAGAUCAUAUCUUCCCCUACAACACAUAUAAUGACCUCCCCAAAAUUAGUAUUUUAAUUGUUCUACAGACUACAAUGUUCAUAAACAUAAGCAAGACACUUGAGGUUCUAGCCAAAAAGCUGCCAUAUAUUUGCGCAACGUAUAUAACAUGAAUUCAGGCACUUGAAAAUGAGAUCAACUAAUGCCUGUAAGAUCGCACCAAGCUGGAUUAGCAGCAGAAAGAACCGCAGUUCUGGCAUUCAAAGAUGUGGUGAUUCCAGCUUUGGCAAUGCUAACAGUUUGCUGCUCCAUAACUUCAUGAAUUGCUGUACGAUCUGAUUCAUCCAUCUUGUCAAAUUCAUCAAUAGCACAAAUACCCAUAUCUGCUAGCACCUGAAACAUAGUCAAAUCCCUUUCUAUGAAGCCCAAAAUUCCUUCAAAAAACAAAUAGAUCAUACUCAUCUAAUUUGUGAAGGCAAAAAAUGGCUUGACUAUCAAGAAAAACAAUCUAGAAACCCCUCAAAAAGCAGACACUUCGGACACAAGGUGGCAGCAGUAACGGACAUCCCAGACAUUUCAUGUUCAUGGCAUUAUUCAUUUUAUUUCUAGAUAAAAGCCUCUUAAACCAAUUUUAUAAUGAUUAACAAGGAAUCUGGAUUUGGCCAAUGUGGCCAACAGCUUGGCAGUUAGUAACUUAAUGGAUACAUAACAUGCAGUGUGCAGAAAAACGAGUCUCACCAAUGCUCCUCCUUCCAGAACCAUCUCAUUUGUCACAUUAUCUCUCUGAACAGCAGCAGUUAGACCAACUCCACUGCUACCUCUUCCAGUGGUAUACACCCCCCUGGGCGCUACAUUGAUAAUGUGCUUGAGAAGCUGACUUUUGGCAACCCCAGGAUCACCCAUCAGACAUAUAUGUAAGUCUCCUCUAAUCUGCAAUUUCAUUCAGUAAUAUUUGUUACACUUUGUUAGUCUUCUCAAAGUUGCAGAUAUGCUAGGAUGCCCCCUGCUCAGUGAUAAGGGGGAACAAAUCAAAUAGAAAAAUAUACUCAUCAAUUUUUUCUCAAAACUAUGAUCUCUUGAGGAAUUAUCAAUAUGUCCCGUCAUUUCAGCUGGACUAUACUCCUUACGAUACUGGUAAGGAAAAAGUCAAUUUGCUUACAUGUGUAAUUAAAUUGUUUGGUAAAAUAUACCUUCAUCCCAUCCUUUAAUUUGCGGUGAGGAGCACCCACAAGGAGAAGAAGCAGAGCUUUUUUAAUAUCUUCAUGUCCAUAAAUUUCAGGGGCCAGUGAUCGUGCCAACUUAUUGUAGAUAUCACCAUCCUCAGCCAAACGAGAAAUAUGUUCUUCCUCAUCUCCUCUAAGUUCAUAUCUGCAAUGGAUUACAAGUGAGCCCGUCAAUUUUGAACCCUUCUUUGGUUCAAUCCUCAUCUCAUCAAAUGAACAAUUAAAAACCAUCUGGUUUAAUUACUUGCCAAAAAGCAUAUGAUUAAUAAAACACACAUGUUUGUUAAAACUACAUUUAGUAAAAGCAUAAUUCUGUUCUCAGCGUUCAUUAUUAAAAAAAAAAGGAAAUUAGAACACAUCAAUAUAAAUAUGUGCACAAGUUGUGAUAAUUAAGCAUUUGAAGUAGCUUACUCCUCGUAUUUUUUCUUAAAAUGAGUGACAGACAUGGCCUCCAAGUAUGUAUCUGCAACUAAUCCAGCACGGAGUGCUCUAAAACCAGUGUAAGGAAUUGGAAGAAAGAUCCCUGAAAAUUCAACAACAUCUCCUGGAGCAACCUGCCAACGUUCAAAAAAUGGAUAAAAGCUCAUACAAAAUUCAUAAAUUUGAUAGACGCAAUAUCAUGAAGUAUCUGCAACCAUGAAAUUUCUGACACAAUAAUAUACACUUAAAUAGAGGAUGUAAGUUCUACGUUGCAAUUAUUCAUGUCAUUCAGUUUUUCACUUUAAAUCUAUAUCGAAAUAUUCAUUUUUUUGUUUCUGUUAGCUGACACAGACUAACAAGGGUAGGUCAAACAGUUCUGUAAACACGAAUUUAUGGUUUUAAUUGACAUUUUGUAUACCCACAGACUACCACUUAAUAGGUUAAUAUGAUUUGAAGCACAAUGAUGACAAUAACUACUGAAAUUUUCUGUCAUUUCUUCACUUACUCUCAGACACGAAAUAAUUUAAGAAGUUUCAUGAAAGCUGACCAAAAAAGCCACUAACCUUUCUUGUGAGUUCUCCUCUUAAAUGAACAGUCAUUGUUCGAGGUAUAUGACCUUUUGGAACAUGUUCAGCCAACUCUUGAAUCUUAGCCUGCAAAAUACCAUCUAAAAUGAUAAAUCAUGUGCAAAAGAUUCCUGAUUGCAAUUUGAGAUAUCAAAUUUAUAUUAAACUAAAAACCUCCUGAAACUUCAGAAAUUUUGAUGCUCUGAGUUGAAGAACCAGAUUCCCUUUCGUUUUGUUUAUUUUACAGCGUUGGGAUGGGCACUCAAAUAAAGGCAUGAAAACACGGGCAGUUACUUCCUGUUUGAAACAUUGAUAAUGGAUGGAAUCAACAAAAACUCGUGUAAAAGAAAAGAGAAUAAAAUACAAGUCUCAUAAGUGAUAAGACAAGCCAUAAUCUUUAUAAGUUCUUCAAAUCAAUUACCUGGUAGAUUUCGAAACCACACUCUUCACAAGUAUAUACUGCUACCUGCAUAAGUGGCUUAACAUCUGAACAACGGGUUAUAAUACCAGAUAUCCUUACAAGCUGGCCAAUGUAUGAAGCCUUGACCUCCCUAAUAGAAAAUGGUCGCCCCUUUGAUGAUGCUCUGAUAUAAACUUCACUGAAUAGAAUGAGACAGAUGCUUGACCAUUAUAUUCAAAGAAACUAAGUUGUAUACAAAUUAUGAGAAAUUGAUGCCAAGCAAUUGGAGUUGAUAUUGUAAAGCCAAAUUAAGAAGUGUUUGAAAAUAUCAGGCUUCAAUACGUAUUACAAAUAAAUAAUUACAAAAACAUACACUAUAAAGUGGGGAGAUCCUUUUUUGACUUAAUUAAGCUUCAACCAAGUAAAAUUUACCAUUCGCAACAUCAACCAUAAACUAUUGCUAAAAUUUUUUUUAAAAAAUCUUAAAUAAAUAUCUUGAACAAGUUCGGUGUACUGUAAGAAAAGAGCUUUUGUUCAUUCUUACUAAUAACGCUUAAUUUCCGGAGGCAUCUUCUGACGUGGAUCAGCUCCAUCAGUAUUAUCCGCCCCAUCCUCAGAUCUCUGUGUCAUCAAUAUAUCAUGGUCAUCAUCCGGAAAUGCCUCUGUGGGCUCCGGCAAUAACUCAUCAAUUGCAGAAGCAAAAAUCCCAAUAUACCGGCGGGUGUUUUCAGUAACUCUCCUAAAAAAUUCUUCAUCAAAGUCUUUAUACUGUAAAAUCAAGAAAAUCGACAGUUAACACAUAAUUAGGGUUUCAAGCAAAACAAAUGAAUGUUUAACUUUUAUUCUAAUAACCAAGAAGAAAGACAAUGAGAGAGGGGAUUACGUUAAAUAGGUCUUCAAGAUCAAUCUGGAUUGAACGAAGUUUACGAUUUGCAACAUCUUGCUGAAAUGAAUAGAAGGAACUCAAAUAAAAAGAGAAAGAGAAUGAAAACUGAAUAUACAAAUUUUCAGAUCUAGGAUUUUUCAAUCCAUGUAGGAGGAUUAAAAAAGGGAGAGAGAGACUUACAAGAAUGUUCGCGUAUUUGGCAUCGCCAUUUGCGUCCGCGAAGUUCGAAAUGAACUCCUUUGCGAAAGCUGAAUAGAAAGAAAACGAAGCAAUAGAGCUAGGAUCUUAUAAAUAAUUGAUUGCAUAGAAGUAGAGUGAUGAAUAUUAUACCUUUAUCUGCGUCGAGGUCGAAGAUUGUCAUGGUUAGCGUUAGCAGCUGCAGUAAGAGGCAGAAUGAGCAAAUACGAGAAUGAAAGAGAACAGGGGCCUUGGCGGGAAAUGAUGAGAGGGAAGACGGUUUGGCGGGAAAAUAUACGCGUAAUUGAUACGAUAUAAUAUGGAUUUUUCAGUUUUAAUAAAGAAUUAAAGAUAAAUCUUGAUGAACGGUCGUGAUCGAACAUAAGAGGAAAAAUCAUGCCGUGGUUUUGAUUUAUCAUGAUUAAGUUAAAAAAAUUAAAAAACUCCAUGACAUGUCGUGUUAAAAAUGAUAUUUCAAAUGAUAUGUAAUACACUUUCACCAUAGUAAACAUCGUAUGCCAUGUCAAAUUUUCUACCCAUUAAAUUUUUUUAAUUAAAAAUUACAAUUUAUUUUUUAAAAUUACACUACAUUCAAUUUGUAUUUAAAAAAAGGAUUUCUUUAUGAUGCUGUAUUUAUUUUUACAGUAUUGAUAGUGGGAUUAAUGUGGACCCUUAGAUAUAAGAAUUUUAAUCUGAAUCAUUCAUUUAAUAUAAUGGAUAAUUAGAUAAUUAAUUAAAAUAUAGCAGGUAAUUUACAGGUUGCAAGUAAAUAUUAAUUUUUUAAUUUUAAAUCAAUAUUAAUUUCGGAAAAAACCACCCACACCCCUAAGAUUUGCUAAAAUAAUUAUACAUGUUCUUUUAGUUUCAUAAAUAGUCACAUAGACCCUUUUAAUUUCGUAAAUGACUAUUAUACCUUUUGACUAAAUCAAUCUAAAUAAAUAUAAAUAUAGUAAUAGGAUAAAAAUAAUAAAUAAAAAUCAUAUGAUACAAAUAAAGUGUUACAAUAAAUAUAAUUGAUAAAAUAACAUGUACAAUAAAAAUUUUGUUAAUAUUAAGUUAUUAUUAGUCUAUCUUGACGAAUGAACUAAAAUCUAUUAAUCCAAAAAUUGAUCUUAAGAUUGAUAUUAAUAUAGACAUAAUUAAAUAAGAUAUUGUUAAUUUUAUAAAUUAUUGUGAAUGUUAGGUAUAAUUAAUUAAUUUUAUUAGUAUGUCAAGUAGAUUUUAAUAUUAGUAAAAAGAAUAUGACAAACUAAUAAUAAAAGAAUAUGAAAAAUAAUAAUGUUAAAAAUAAAAUUUUUAAAAUUGAAAAUAUUUUAUAAAAUUUUAUCUUUUGUUAUGCAUUAUAUUUUUUAAUUUAAGGAGUUUUGUAUGACCAUUUAAAUAAAAUUUAGAGGCGUGAGUGGUCUUUUUCCUAUUAAUUUUGUAGCCUAUUUGAAGUACUAUAUCAUUUUAUAUCAUACAUCGCACUUAAGAUGUUGAUUUUAUUAAGGUGUUAUGUUAUUAAAAAUUAAACUUAGCAUUUAUAAUGUACUACAACUUUAAUGUAAAAUGUAAUAAAAAAAUAUAAAGACAUUUUCGAGUAGUCAAUUUUAGUUUUCUUUUACAAAAUAGUAUUAUAAAAGACAACUGGUAAAAUGUAAUAAAAAUGGUAAGGAAAAAAAGUUAGUAGAUGUGAUUCUCCUUAUUAAAACAUAUGAAGUAAUACACAUACGCACACAUAUUCAGUACUUCUAUUUAUCCUUAUUUAUUGAUAGGUGGGAAAUUAAAAUCGUAUUUACCCUAAUGUAUUAUGAAUUGAUAUGUGAAAUAUAAAUAUUAUUAAAAGUUAAUUCGCAGACUGAUGAAGUAAACCAUCCUUUAUGAACAUUUGAUACAUUAAUCUAAGGUCAAAUGAGAUAUAUCACAUGAUAUUUCAUAUAGUAGUCCAAUUUUCAACAUUUGCAUAUGGUUUUAUAAGCUAGUAAACCAAUAAAAUAUACCAUGAGAAAUCAAAGGUUAUUCCACGGCCAUGUAUUAGAAUAAAAUAAUCUAACAGUACAUACUAUAUCCGAUCGAUAGAUUUUGAAAUUAGUUUGAUUACAUGAUAAUCGAGUUAUCUUAUAACAUUAAGGAUAUGAUUUAAGUAAUAUUUUAGCAAUUUUGAGUUUCACAUUGAAUUUUCAAAUUAAUUAAAUGUUGAAACCCUUUCAUGUUUGGCCUGAAAUUACAACUUGAUAAAAUUACAAAAAACCAAUAAUGAAUGGCGUAGGAUACAUAGUAAAAUAAAUUUUAAAAUAUAUUUAAACAUUCUUAUGAAUUUUGUGGAAUUAAACAAAAUAUGUUGCUCAAAUGAAAUUGUGAGAAUAUUUAAAAUUAUAGGGGUGGUCACUGAAAUUUCUCCGAAUUGAGCCAACCCCAUGAUACAGACGGUUUUGUUUUGACAAAUACGAUUUGUUAGCCACUUUGACUGUUGGUAGAAUAAGUUCCUAUCGGCAAAACACAAUUCAAACUCAUCUUUGCAAAGAAUAAACAGUAUCUCAUCAAGGAUCAAAUCUAAGCGGAGUUUUUGUUCAAUCAAUCGGACUAAAUUCGAGUAGACUUCUUAGUCAAUAAAUCAAGUUGUUCGGUUUUGAAAAAUAUUUAUAUUCAAGGUAAAUCUGGGAGCUGUCAUUACAAAAAGCGAUGGAUAUUGAUGAACAAGGUUAGUACUGAUAUGUUCUUUGUAAUUUGAUAUUUAGAAUUUUUAUGAUUAUUUUGUUGUUGUGUAGAGAAAUGGUUAUAACGAGAUUUUGGCUAUGUAACCAUGUAAUGGCCAAUGCUUUAAAAUCAAACACUUGUUCGAUUAUUUGUCCAAACCAAAAAAAAAAAAAAAAAGGCACGCAGAAACAUAAGAGAACUAAGAAUAUGAUGUCUGCCAGUCGUGCUUCUUGGAGAAAGAGGCUGAAAAAAAGAACUAAUACAUCAUUUAAGUUGGUUGUUUUGAUGCUUCUGAGCAGUUUGUAUUGUUUAAAUCAUAUCUUAAUGUAGAAAAAUUGAAAUUGAACAUUGUAAAAUUAUUUGAACUUCUAACAAAUAGAGCUUUCUAGGGGGAUAUAGCUUCUAAUUUUUUUCCUGAGGAAUUGAUAUCAUUUAAUUCAGAAACUUCUGGUCUUGUGUAGUUAGAAGACAGCUGUGACCUUUGUGCACUAAAUCCUGAAUAUCUCUAAGAUGAGAAGUUCGAAUUUGAUUCUGUAAAUAUCUUCCACAACUAGAUACAUUUAUCUAUCCAAACAUAUAUAUUAUGUAAUGUCAUAUAUUCUAGAUCAAUACAGUUAAAUCAUGGAAGUUGGCUGAUAAUCAGAGGCUUGGUUGCUUCAGUGAUUCUGAGCAGUCAGCAUUCUUUAAGCCAUAUCUUCAUGUAGAAAACUUCAAAUAGAAAACCGUAAAAUUAUUUGAACUCCUGAAAAAUAAAUCUUUCUAUAGAUAUAUAUUUUCUAAUUUUAUGCCGUUUUAAUUGAUAUCAGUUAAUUUAGAAACUUCUGGCCCUGUGUAGUUUGAAGACAGCUGUGACCUUUGUGCACUAAAUCCUGAAUAUCUCUAAGAUGAGAAGUCCGAAUUUGAUUAUGUAAAUUUCUUCUACAACUAGAUACAUUUAUCUAUCCAAACAUAUAUAUUAUGUAAUGUCAUAUAUUCUAGAUCAAUACAGUUAAAUCAUGGAAGUUGGCUGAUAAUCAGAGGCUUGGUUGCUUCAGUGAUUCUGAGCAGUCAGCAUUCUUUAAGCCAUAUCUUCAUGUAGAAAACUUCAAAUAGAAAACCGUAAAAUUAUUUGAACUCCUGAAAAAUAAAUCUUUCUAUAGAUAUAUAUUUUCUAAUUUUAUGCCGUUUUAAUUGAUAUCAGUUAAUUUAGAAACUUCUGGCCCUGUGUAGUUUGAAGACAGCUGUGACCUUUGUGCACUAAAUCCUGAAUAUCUCUAAGAAGAGAAGUCCGAAUUUGAUUCUGUAAAUUUCUUCCAUAACUAGAUACAUUUAUCUAUCCAAACAUAUAUAUUAUGUAAUGUCAUAUAUUCUAGAUCAAUACAGUUAAAUCAUGGAAGUUGGCUGAUAAUCAGAGGCUUGGUUGCUUCAGUGAUUCUGAGCAGUCAGCAUUCUUUAAGCCAUAUCUUCAUGUAGAAAACUUCAAAUAGAAAACCGUAAAAUUAUUUGAACUCCUGAAAAAUAAAUCUUUCUAUAGAUAUAUAUUUUCUAAUUUUAUGCCGUUUUAAUUGAUAUCAGUUAAUUUAGAAACUUCUGGCCCUGUGUAGUUUGAAGACAGCUGUGACCUUUGUGCACUAAAUCCUGAAUAUCUCUAAGAAGAGAAGUCCGAAUUUGAUUCUGUAAAUUUCUUCCAUAACUAGAUACAUUUAUCUAUCCAAACAUAUAUAUUAUGUAAUGUCAUAUAUUCUAGAUCAAUACAGUUAAAUCAUGGAAGUUGGCUGAUAAUCAGAGGCUUGGUUGCUUCAGUGAUUCUGAGCAGUCAGCAUUCUUUAUUACAGUACCAAUUACAGUUCCAACUUUAUUAAUUGAACGAUUUAUUUUUUGAGAAGCAACUUUAGUUCUAACUUUACUAGUUGCAAUAACAUUCGUCUUAGGACCACGGAAUGAUAGUGCUUUUUGUAUAACACUAUCUCUUACUUCAUUUGCAUCACCAUUUACAAGGAGUAGCGCAAGACGAAAUCUUUCUUCAUCCGAUUCAUACUACAUAUAAUAGAAUUAAUAACAAUUUAAUAUUGAUUAAAGUUUUGUGCAAACUAAGAAAUAUAAAUUGUAUGAUUAAGUUACCUUAUAAGUUGGGAAUAAUAUCUCACAUGGAGUCUCCAUAAACUUCAUCACAUACAAGCCACAAUCAUUUCCAUUUGGUUGAAUUGGCACAUUAUUUGGAUAUAAAAUGUCAAAGUCAGCGAAAUACCAAUCAGAAUGAAAGUUAAAGGCUAUAUCACGAAACAAGAAGAAAACUUCAAAUAGAAAACCGUAAAAUUAUUUGAACUCCUGAAAAAUAAAUCUUUCUAUAGAUAUAUAGUUUGUAAUUUUAUUCCUUGUUAAUUGAUAUCAGUUAAUUCAGAAACAUCGGGUCUUGUGUGGUUUCUAGACGGUUGUGACCUUUGUGCACUAAAUCGUGAAUAUCUUUAAGAAGCAAAGUCAAAAUUUGAUUCUGUAAAUUUCUUCCGUAACUAGACACAUUUAUCUAUCCAAAACUAUAUAAUAUGAAAUCUCAUAUGUUCUAGAUCAGUACAUUUUAAUCAUGCAAGUUUGCUGAUAAUCAUAGACUUGGUUGCUUCAGUGAUUUUGAGCAGUCAGCAUUCUUUAAGCCAUAUCUUCAUGUAGAAAACUUCAAAUAGAAAACCAUAAAAUUAUUUGAACUCCUGAAAAAUAAAUAUAAAAUAAAUAUUUCUAUAGAUAUAUGGUUUGUAAUUUUAUUCCUUGUUAAUUGAUAUCAGUUAAUGCAGAAACAUCGGGUCUUGUGUGGUUUCUAGACGGUUGUGACCUUUGUGCACUAAAUCGUGAAUAUCUUUAAGAAGCGAAGUCGAAAAUUGAUUCUGUAAAUUUCUUCUGUAACUAGACACAUUUUUCUAUGCCUCGAUGACAGAUGCUGGAUACUUGAAAUUAAAGGGUCUUAUCACACAACUUAAGUCUGAAAUGUUAGAGUUGAGUGGGAAUUUUGAAGAGAAAAGAGGUAGAUGGUCCAGUGAGAAGAGAAAUGUUGCUAUUAUAAAAGAUCCAUUAAGUGUGAAGACGAAAGGUGCUCCUAGUGCAAGAUUUAAUAAAGGCGUCAAUUUGAAAAAAUGUGGGUAUUGCAAAUUACCUGGACACAAUAGACGCAAAUGUCCAGUACUUAAUGAGGUAUAUUUAUAUUAGGAUAAUUCUUACAAAGGUUGAAUAUUUUAGCUGUUACCUAAAUUUAUUUUUAUUGAUGCAUUUUUGUUUGGCAUAAUAUAGGUUGGAAAAGAAGGUGAUGAGAAGCGGAAGAAUAUUACAGCUUAUGAAGUCAGUUCAAAUGCUUCAUUUGAUAUUAAUUUGGUAAAGUAAUUAUUAAUGCCAAUAGCCAAAUAAUUUUUUUUUAAUAAAGCUGUUUAUUUAAGAUGUACGGUUUUAGUGCUAAUAAAGUGUGUUCAUUUGUUUCUGCUUGUUUAGGAGAAUGAACCUGCAGAUAAGAAUGUUGUUGAGGAGAAAUUGCAAGAAGAGGAUGAUUUUUUUUGCAGAUGAAUGAAUGAGUAUCUGAUAAUUUUCUAAUAGCUGAUAUAUUUUUUUAUUCAUUCAGAAAAAUCUCUAUUCAAGAAUUAGAUGAUCAUGAGCUUGUUCAUCAAAUGCUGUUUUGAUAGUUUUUUAACUUCUAAACACUCUAAUAAUGUCUUUUGAAUGAUGCUGGAAUCACAACUUUCAUUUAUAACUUUGAACUACUUCAUGAGCACGAAUAUAAAUUCAUAAUCUCAUUUCCCAUUUUCUCUUAUAUGUUCAUUUGCAAUUAUAAAUUUGUACUUUACCAAACUAUAGAUUGCCCGUGUAUAGCUAGCUAUAAAUAAGUUUUAUUGUCAAAGGUUCAAUUAAACAGGGUUAAUGUGUCUAUCAAAAGCUUAGCUGUUUCUUUUAUCUCUAUGAUAAUAUUCUUUUGUCAUUCUGAAAGCAAAUUCCACUUGACCACUUCUCAAAAGGGAUGUGUGUGGUUUAAUUAUGUGGUCCCUUAAAAUGCAUCCCUUAAAGUGCAUCCGAAAUCUAACCACCAUUUAUAUUCUAUUGGUUUCUUCACUAACAAAANNNNNNNNNNNNNNNNNNNNNNNNNNNNNNNNNNNNNNNNNNNNNNNNNNNNNNNNNNNNNNNNNNNNNNNNNNNNNNNNNNNNNNNNNNNNNNNNNNNNNNNNNNNNNNNNNNNNNNNNNNNNNNNNNNNNNNNNNNNNNNNNNNNNNNNNNNNNNNNNNNNNNNNNNNNNNNNNNNNNNNNNNNNNNNNNNNNNNNNNNNNNNNNNNNNNNNNNNNNNNNNNNNNNNNNNNNNNNNNNNNNNNNNNNNNNNNNNNNNNNNNNNNNNNNNNNNNNNNNNNNNNNNNNNNNNNNNNNNNNNNNNNNNNNNNNNNNNNNNNNNNNNNNNNNNNNNNNNNNNNNNNNNNNNNNNNNNNNNNNNNNNNNNNNNNNNNNNNNNNNNNNNNNNNNNNNNNNNNNNNNNNNNNNNNNNNNNNNNNNNNNNNNNNNNNNNNNNNNNNNNNNNNNNNNNNNNNNNNNNNNNNNNNNNNNNNNNNNNNNNNNNNNNNNNNNNNNNNNNNNNNNNNNNNNNNNNNNNNNNNNNNNNNNNNNNNNNNNNNNNNNNNNNNNNNNNNNNNNNNNNNNNNNNNNNNNNNNNNNNNNNNNNNNNNNNNNNNNNNNNNNNNNNNNNNNNNNNNNNNNNNNNNNNNNNNNNNNNNNNNNNNNNNNNNNNNNNNNNNNNNNNNNNNNNNNNNNNNNNNNNNNNNNNNNNNNNNNNNNNNNNNNNNNNNNNNNNNNNNNNNNNNNNNNNNNNNNNNNNNNNNNNNNNNNNNNNNNNNNNNNNNNNNNNNNNNNNNNNNNNNNNNNNNNNNNNNNNNNNNNNNNNNNNNNNNNNNNNNNNNNNNNNNNNNNNNNNNNNNNNNNNNNNNNNNNNNNNNNNNNNNNNNNNNNNNNNNNNNNNNNNNNNNNNNNNNNNNNNNNNNNNNNNNNNNNNNNNNNNNNNNNNNNNNNNNNNNNNNNNNNNNNNNNNNNNNNNNNNNNNNNNNNNNNNNNNNNNNNNNNNNNNNNNNNNNNNNNNNNNNNNNNNNNNNNNNNNNNNNNNNNNNNNNNNNNNNNNNNNNNNNNNNNNNNNNNNNNNNNNNNNNNNNNNNNNNNNNNNNNNNNNNNNNNNNNNNNNNNNNNNNNNNNNNNNNNNNNNNNNNNNNNNNNNNNNNNNNNNNNNNNNNNNNNNNNNNNNNNNNNNNNNNNNNNNNNNNNNNNNNNNNNNNNNNNNNNNNNNNNNNNNNNNNNNNNNNNNNNNNNNNNNNNNNNNNNNNNNNNNNNNNNNNNNNNNNNNNNNNNNNNNNNNNNNNNNNNNNNNNNNNNNNNNNNNNNNNNNNNNNNNNNNNNNNNNNNNNNNNNNNNNNNNNNNNNNNNNNNNNNNNNNNNNNNNNNNNNNNNNNNNNNNNNNNNNNNNNNNNNNNNNNNNNNNNNNNNNNNNNNNNNNNNNNNNNNNNNNNNNNNNNNNNNNNNNNNNNNNNNNNNNNNNNNNNNNNNNNNNNNNNNNNNNNNNNNNNNNNNNNNNNNNNNNNNNNNNNNNNNNNNNNNNNNNNNNNNNNNNNNNNNNNNNNNNNNNNNNNNNNNNNNNNNNNNNNNNNNNNNNNNNNNNNNNNNNNNNNNNNNNNNNNNNNNNNNNNNNNNNNNNNNNNNNNNNNNNNNNNNNNNNNNNNNNNNNNNNNNNNNNNNNNNNNNNNNNNNNNNNNNNNNNNNNNNNNNNNNNNNNNNNNNNNNNNNNNNNNNNNNNNNNNNNNNNNNNNNNNNNNNNNNNNNNNNNNNNNNNNNNNNNNNNNNNNNNNNNNNNNNNNNNNNNNNNNNNNNNNNNNNNNNNNNNNNNNNNNNNNNNNNNNNNNNNNNNNNNNNNNNNNNNNNNNNNNNNNNNNNNNNNNNNNNNNNNNNNNNNNNNNNNNNNNNNNNNNNNNNNNNNNNNNNNNNNNNNNNNNNNNNNNNNNNNNNNNNNNNNNNNNNNNNNNNNNNNNNNNNNNNNNNNNNNNNNNNNNNNNNNNNNNNNNNNNNNNNNNNNNNNNNNNNNNNNNNNNNNNNNNNNNNNNNNNNNNNNNNNNNNNNNNNNNNNNNNNNNNNNNNNNNNNNNNNNNNNNNNNNNNNNNNNNNNNNNNNNNNNNNNNNNNNNNNNNNNNNNNNNNNNNNNNNNNNNNNNNNNNNNNNNNNNNNNNNNNNNNNNNNNNNNNNNNNNNNNNNNNNNNNNNNNNNNNNNNNNNNNNNNNNNNNNNNNNNNNNNNNNNNNNNNNNNNNNNNNNNNNNNNNNNNNNNNNNNNNNNNNNNNNNNNNNNNNNNNNNNNNNNNNNNNNNNNNNNNNNNNNNNNNNNNNNNNNNNNNNNNNNNNNNNNNNNNNNNNNNNNNNNNNNNNNNNNNNNNNNNNNNNNNNNNNNNNNNNNNNNNNNNNNNNNNNNNNNNNNNNNNNNNNNNNNNNNNNNNNNNNNNNNCUUGUUGCGGCGGCCUUUUUUUUUGGUGAAAUUUUCGUAAGGAGAUUUUUUAUAACGACUGGGCUUUCGAGGACGCACCUUUUUAUCCUCAACUGCAUCUACUUCGACCGAUGAUACCAAAUCCACAAAAUCAACUGCAUCCAUGGCUUUAUCCUACAUGCAUAAGAACAUGAAUUUUAUUAUUAUUAUUUUGUUUAAUGAAUGUGCUAGUACAAAUAAUUUUUGAAAAAAAAUGUAGAAUAAUAGUUUGUUAUUAUACCUUUUUAACAACAUUGUGGAAGAUUUGGUUCUCUUUCAGUUUCCUAUAUGCAAAUAAGUUUUUCAAUGAUAAAUUUUCAUCACAUGCGUCUUCAGUCUUGUCCUUAAUCUCUGCGAUCUUCACCCCAAACUCAUCUCCCUUUCCCAUGAAAUUUUGACCACUUGAUUCAUUUGUACCAUUUUGAACAUCUUUACUAGAAGAGUUCAUAUUUUCCUUCCACGGGUGUGAUUGCAUAUGAGUUAUAUUAUGUUCAAGUGCUUCAACUACACUAUACAUUUUUUGUACCAAUGCAUAAGUAUCUAAAUUGUUCCUCUUCAGCUCACCAAGUUCAUACCUGACAGCGGCAAGAUUAAAAGUCAUCCCAUCAAUUUUUUCAUUAAGCUUUGUCAAUUCCUUCUCAUGGUUGCAAUUUCGAAAGUUUGCUUCACCCUCUCUGUUUGUUUUAAUGCUUUUAUGGAGCCCUCCAUCAUCAUUUUAAAAAAGAGAAAGUUCAUUCCCACCGCAUAAAGCCUAAGAGAGGCAAAAUUAUUAAUCUGACUCUGGAAUCUUUAGGUCUUCACAAAAGAACAUAUAACAAACUUGAAAAAAAAAAUAAUUGCCCCUUCAGUUCCAAAAAGUAUUGUACUUCUAGUCUUGUUUCACACGCUUCAGUUGUAGUAAUUAGUUGCUUUCCAUGUAAUCAACAAAACCCCAAAAAAAUGACACUAGAAGCUGUGGUUUUGAUCAUAUGUGAUAACGUGAAUUGAACUUCCCAGCAAGGGCUUCAAUCUAAAAAGCACAUGAGCCAUUCUUUGUGAUGAAUUAAUUAUUUCUCUUGCAUAUGUAAUUAGUUGACUUUAUUCUGGCCGUAAUGAUGCCAUGAGUUGUAAGAAUUAUUAACCUUCUUAUAGGCCCCAUAGAUGAUUGUAUAAAUAAAGCAAAAUUGCAACAUGAUGAAACUUGAAAAAAUCCAAACUAAAGCAAAAUUGCAACAUGGCACCAACUAACUUUUCAUUACCAAAAGAUAUAUGAAAGAAAACAGCACAUGACAUUAAAGAUUCUGUAUCUUACUCGCGUUGCACCUUGCCUCAUGGUUCUCUCCCCUUUUACUUUUUCUCUAUAGCUGGCAAUCUGUGAGCCGCACGAGCCUCUAAGCCGCCUGUAAAAGCACGUUAUAGAAUGAUUGUAAGCAGCAUAGGACAGACCUUAAACCAUGGCUGCAAAUACUCAAGGCAAUAAAUUGGCAAUACAAUAAAAAUAGAGCUAUUACUUUAUUAAAAAAUUUGGAUCCUGCAAAUUAUGUGGCCUUCAAAUUUCCAAUUAUGUGGCCUUCAAAUUUGGAUCCUGCAUCCUGUGGUUCAGUAUAGCAAGAACCUUUGGACCUUAGAAAUAAAGAAAACGUUUUAUUUAGUGUUAAAUUUCUGUUUAAUUAAUCAAAUUAAAAUCUGAAAUAUUUCAAUAAAUGGUUAUGUUAGGUGAUUAAAAGAAAACAAAAAAGAUCCAUAUGAUUUGGUUGUGAUAUCUAACAUGCUGUCUAAGCAAGGAAUGGUAUGUCAUAUGCUCAUGUGGGUAAAAUAUUAAAUAAAUAUUAUUAGACAUAUAAGAAGAAAAAUCAAAAUGAAAAAAUAAUAAUCAAUAGAGAUCACAAAUUUUAUAUAAUAUUUAAAAACAGAAAAUGGAAAAGAGAUCACCAUCUCCUGCCAUCACUCUUUUAGGCUUCUCCAAAUAUUCUUGCACCAGAGGAUUGCAUUUGCCAACUCCCAAAUAUAUAACUUACCGAAAUAUUUACUCCCAACUCAUCUCAGGUUUCCGCAGCAACUCAGUUUCGUCGGAGGUGAUGGCUCCGAAACAGCCAAAUACUGGUCUCUUUGUUGGAUUAAACAAGGGUCAUAUUGUGACGAAGAAGGAACUGCCGCCACGCCCAGCAGAUCGCAAAGGGAAAACAAGCAAAAGGGUCCACUUCGUGAGGACUGUGAUUAGGGAAGUUGCUGGCUUUGCACCCUAUGAGAAAAGGAUCACUGAGCUUCUUAAAGUCGGCAAGGACAAGAGGGCACUGAAGGUUGCAAAGAGAAAGCUUGGCACUCACAAGAGGGCAAAAAAGAAGCGAGAAAUUUAUCGAAUCUCUUUCGUCUAAUCAUUAGGAGAAAAAGAUAAUCUUAAAGAAUUCAAUUAUAAAAAUAUGAACGUGAGAGAUAAAGAGACAUUGUAUUUUACUGUAUUUCUAUUUCUUUUUUAUUUUAAAUUUAAAAUUACCUAUUUUAUAGGUUUGUUAACCGGUUAACACAAUUUUUAAAUAAUUAAAAAAUUUCAUUAAUAAAAAUAAUAUAUACCGUUGAUUAGAUCUAACGGUCUAUAUUUCUUACACUAUUGAUACCGUAAAAAAAAUUACGGCAUCAUAGAGGGACCCAUAAAAAAAUAUAGCAAAACAUUUUAAUUUGUAUAUAGACGUCACUCUUUUGAAAAAUAGGAAACAUUGAUAGAAUUUCAUAUAAUUCAUGCAAAUUUCUCAUUUAUUAACAAUGUUAUGCUUGUUCAUUUUAGACAUCUAAUUUGUAUCUAAAGUGAUGUAUCACAUAAAUUAUUUAUUAUCAUGAUAAAUAAUUUUAUUAUUUAUUAUUAACAUAUUGUUUUUACAAUCUAAUAAUAAAUCACUUAUAAGAUAUCACAUCAAUUAGAAUACAAUCUACAUAAUUAUAGAAUAAUUAUAGAGUGUAUUUGGGAUUAAAGUUGGGCAGCUGUAAUUUAAAAUGUACAACACUAAAAUAUUUGGUAAAUACUAACUGCUGUAACUUAUAGUCUAUAUUAAUAUAAUUUUUUACUUAUUAUAUCGACGGGAAACCGACGACGUAAAUUCCAGAGGUGAUCCUGAAUAGGCACUAAUCUGAUCUGCACUGUCGGAUAACAAGUCACGUACCCUAAGUGGUAUCAGAGCCAUACCCAUCCUUGACACUUUCAUGUUUUCUAAAUCCCUGUUUUCCUGAUCAAAAUGGUAUAAUUUAAGUCUUUAUCCAUGAUUUGCUCUUUAGACUUCAGGCGCAGAGAGAACUUCUCAUUCAUGGCUUCCACUUCCUCUUCCCCUCCUGUUACUCUCUCCUCUACUCUUUCUUUGCCUCGCUCUUGCACUUCUCAUACCACCAAUAAGAUUGAAAACCUUGUAGAAUACUCAUAUAUCCCUGAAUCAGCCCAAAUCAGUGAGUCCUCCUACCCUCUUAUUAGCCCUUAUCAGUUGUACAAACGAUCUAGCUCCUUUACCCGCAGUAUCUGCACCCUCAUCUCUACCAGACGCCCUCAACCUAAAGAAUAUAUCUAGUCUUCCCGCCUGGAUCAGUGUGCUCUUCAAGCCACCUCUGCUGAGCAAUAUGUCACUUUGGAGAUUCCCUCCGAGUUGCUUUCCAACUGAAAAAGAGAAGGCUACACUCACCUCCAUCUUGGAGGCAUCAGAUUAAUCCUUACCCUUCACGGGAGAAAAGGAUUACCGGUUACAGCACGCCUUGCUCUGCUUGAUACCUGGUUUAAACAGUACCAAGAUGCUGUUAUUGGCACUGUCCUCACAACUCUCCAUGCCGGUAGUGUUUUACUCACCUUCUAUCCCAACUUUAAUCUUUCCCUUCAAGACCCCAAUUUGCCCACAACCUUGAAAGUCCAAGUUCAGAUCCAAGAUACUGAACAAAUUUCUUCUGCCAAAAUUGCCACCUUACACCACCAAUUGGUCUAUAGGCUUCAAAAUCAUGCCUUAGAUUUACCCACUCCUGAACAUCAUUCUGAUACUCUCAUGGUCUUAGCUGAAUCUGACCAGAUCCCAACCAUAAUCCAGAUCCUACGACAAAUUCCCGGUCAUGAGCUCAUCAAGCUUAUGCCUCUUGAAUGGAUCUCCAACUAUGAACAGUUCCAUAACAAUACAGCUCCAAUUCAGACUUCUGAAAGCAUGUUCGAAAGACGCCAAGAUGGAACAAUCCGAAUGACUUUUAAACCACCUCCAAGUGCUCCACAAGAGCCUCCUCGGCUCUCUUUUACCUAUUCUUCAAUGAUCACAGCUGUUCAGACAGCCCAAGAAGAUCUGCCCAUUACAGGAUUGCAAAGCAUUGCAAAUCUGAGAUUCCAUCACCAAUCUCAAAUCCCACACCACCACUGGCUUAUAUGAUGUUCUCAUCUACUUCAUCCGACUAUUCUUCCUCUUUUCCUCCUUUAGACAAUCACACAGAUUCCCAACGAAAUGUCGUGUCCAAACCCUUUAUUUCUUCACCAAUUACUUCAUCCGGUCACCUAGAACCUCCCAAACCUUUUGAAUCAGUCCUCAACUGGCAAACCCAAAAUGUCAGAGCACAGAAUGAUACUUUGGUAAAUAUUAAUUCUAAAGUUGAGAAAAUCAGUUUACGAACUGAACAACUUGAGACAAAAGUUGACUCCAUCUCUGCACAGAUGUAGCAGAUCCACCAAAAUCUCCAGUCCAGAAUUGCUCAACUCGAUUAUGAGUUACGAGCUAUGCUUGCCCAACGCUAUUAUGCCCUAGAAUUUGACCAAAAGGAACGAGAAAUCAAACGUUUAAAAGCUGAGCUUGACCAGAUUGAAUCUGAAAAACAGCGACCUACCCUUUUCACCACAUCACCUUUUAUUCCUUCCAUUGGCCCAACUUACCACCAUUUUACCUCUAUGCUUUCCCUCAUCAGACAAUAUGAUCCUUCCAAGUUAUUUGGCAUGACUCAUACUCUUUUUCGGGAUAAUCUCUUACCACCACCACCUAAACCUAAACCAAAGCCUAAACUUUAACCGCGACCCGUCACAUUCCAUUCCUCAUCCAUUACCAUCCCUGGCCAACAUUCUCCUGGUCCUACUCCAGCAUCGUCACCAGUACCUCCACCAUCAACUGAAUCCCAACCACCUUAUCAAUCAAAGGAUAAACAACCCAUGCACCAGUUUAGUGCCCAUACAAUCGCCCACUCUUCUACCACAGAUGACCAAACUUCUGAUUCCAAUCUAGCUGUUUCUGAUAGCCAUACUGAGACUGAUACAGAAUCUUCAGUAUCCACUAGUGAUUCUGAAAAGUCCUAUGCUGAUAUUACCAGAAUCUUGAUGACCCAACCUGAUCAACCUCGUCAAGGCCAAACCUCUCAUACAGAACCAUAUGUUGAUAUUCCCUCCGAAGUUGAGGAAGAAAUGCCUGAAUCUUCAGCCACAAAUCAACCUCCUUCAGCUCAAACCCAGACCGGUUCCACCAGUCAAAAAUCAUCGAAUAGUCUCUGGUUCACAUUUGAUGAUCUUCCAUCUCAUAAAUGGCGUGAUCGCCUUAAUGAAAUGUCUGCCUGGAUUGACCUCCAAAUGCUACGUCCAGGAGCCACAACCCAAUCAGUCCUUAGAGAAUUUGCUACUCGUUUUACGGGUGCUCUAAGAGAUUGGUUUGAUUCUUUAGGCCGAUAUCGCCAAUUACAGUUUGUUGAUCUCCCAGAAGUCUUAAGUGCCCUUGCGGUUCUCCAUGAUCAAUUCCUUGGAGACCCCUCUGCAGUCUUUGAAGCUGCACGACGAGACUAUCUCAACAUGAAAUGUUGUUCCCUUAAUGCUAAGGAUCUUGAUUUCCAUUACAAACGCAUGUCCCUGCUGUUUUAUAAGCUUAAUGGAUUCAAUGAGCCGACAUUAAAACAUGUAUUUCUGGCUUCCCUUCCAGAUGAACUCUAACCAGAUAUACAACGACAACUCACAGCAUCCAAUCUUUCCUUUGACAACAUCUCUCUUGGCAAAAUCUUCCAGCUUGCCAAAACUUGUCUUGAUAAACUUUGUGAGCAGAAGUAGUUUUUCAAAGAACUGUUGAAAGACAAAGAGCCAUUUCGGAGUGCUUGCAAAAAGCCUUAUUUGCAGAUCAAAUGCAAAAAGAAAAGGAUUGUGAUUGCAGUCCUAAAAAGAAACGGCAUUUUAAGAAAUUCAGAAAUCUAGAAUUUUCAUCCAGACCUCGUCGAUCUAGAAAGCCUUACAAAUUCUUCAGAAAGAAGUCAUCAUCUUCCAGAGAUUUCAAAAGACAAAAAUCAAGCAGAUGUUUUAUCUGCAAAAGAAAAUGUCAUUAUGCCAAAUAUUGUCCCAACAAGCGAGAAAAAUCUAUUCGGUUAGUUGAGCAUCUCCAAGCCACUACAGAUUAUUCUCCAGAAAAAGGAUGAACUGGAAUUCUAUUUCUCUGAGCAAGAUGAACCCAAUGAUGAAACUGUGUUCGCCCUACAAAAUUCCUCUGAUGACUCAGACAGUGAUCAGUCCCAAGUCAUUUUCCAUCAACAGUUACUGUCCCUUGACACUACUGUCCCUAUACUUUCCAUCAAACUCCAGAUUUGACCCUCAAAAUUCCAAAGGCCCAUUCCAGCAAUUGGUCUCAUCGACACUGAUGCCCAACGCAGUAUGUUAAACUCCCAUAUUCUCCCACCAGACCACUGGAUAGAAUCUUAAGAACAUUUCAAAGCUGUCAAUGGCAAACUCUUCACCACUUCUUUGAUUACCAAAAAGCCCAUUGGUAUUCAAAUUUUUCCCAAUUGUGUCAUUUGGACCAAAGUUAUCGAUUCAAGUCUUCCUAAUAAGGACAUCUUAUUAGGUUUUGACAAUAAUAAGGACAUCUUGUUAAGUUUUGACAUCCUUCACCAGCUCAAACACCUCCAGAUCAUUCCUACUGGAAUCCGAGUCAAGUCCAUGUUCAAACCAUUUACAAACAUUCUGAAGCUCUACAAUCUGUCUAAAACUCCUCCGUCCUACCAGGAUAUUUCAACUAAACUUUUGAGUUUCUGUCCAGAGUCCCAUAUUGAGUUCACCCAUCCAACUCCAUUGUGGUUGUCCAAAGUCCUAUAUUGAGUUCAUCCAUCCAACUCCAUUGUGGAAAAACGAGUCUUUCUUCAUUAAGUUACCGUUCAAACUAAAUGAAGAUAUUAACCCAACCAAAGCUACCCAUCCAGGAAUGAGUCCUUCUGACUUACUCCUAGCCCAACAGGAAUGUUCCCAAUUGUUAGCCUAAGGCCUUAUCGAACCCACAAAUUCUCAAUGGGCUUGCCAAGCCUUUUAUGUUGAAAAACAUUCUGAGAUUGUUCGAGGAAAGAAACGCCUCGUCGUUGACUACCAGUCAUUAAACAUGUUUUUCCAAGAUGAUAAGUUUCCUUUACCCCGUCAACAAAGCAUGUUUACUUUUCUCAAAAAUGCCCAGAUUUUUUCAAAAUUCGAUUUAAAAUCAGGUUUUUGGCAAUUAGGCAUUGAACCCUCUGAACGGUACAAAACUGCCUUUUGUAUCCCAAAUGCCCAUUUUCAGUGGACCGUCCUACCCUUUGGCCUCAAAACAGCCCCAUCCAUUUUUCAAAAAUCCAUGGUCAAAAUCUUUCAGCCAAUUCUGCAUCAUGCAUUGAUUUACAUUGAUGAUAUCUUGCUUUUUUCAGGCUCACAUGAUGAACAUCGCCAGCUGUUAACUCAGUUCUAUGAUAUUGUCCAAAGUCAUGGAAUCAUGUUAUCGACAAAAAAAAGCACCAUUGCUAUAGACAAUAUUGAAUUUCUUGGUAUGGUCAUAAAAUAUGGCCAUUAUCAGCCAGGAAAACAUAUUGCCCAAGAGUUGCUCCACUUUCCAGAUCAGCAACUUUCCAAAAGGCAAGUCCAACAGUUUCUCGGCAUCAUCAAUUACAUCAGAGACUUCAUCCCAUAUGUGGAUCACUACACUCAUCACCUCUCGGCUUUAUUAAAAAAGAAGCCCCCAUAGUGGAAUGCUGACCACACAACUGCUGUCACUACUCUCAAGCAAAUUGCACAAAAUCCGCCUCCAUUAAAGCUGAUUACUGAUGGAAAGCGCAUAUUGCAGACAUAUGCAAGUGAUGAAUCAUGGGGUGUCAUCCUCCUCGAAGACAUCUAUGGAAAAAAAUAUUUUAUCGCUUACGCUAGUGGACAAUUUUCUGACACAUAGAAGCAUUAUCAUAGCGUGUUCAAAAAAAUUUUAGCGGUAAAGAAUGGCAUCAAAAAGUUUGAGUAUCAUUUGAUUGGACACCAUUUUCUCAUCCGUAUGAACAGUUCAGCCUUCCCCAAUAUUCUCAAUUUCAAAGGUAAAACUGUUCCCGAAAAAAUAUUACUCAGAUUAAAAGAUUGGUUUUUCAAAUAUGACUUUUCGGUCAAGCAUAUAAAGGGAUCCAAGAACCUCAUCCCUGAUAUGCUCUCCAGACUCUCCAAACCAGAGAAACCUCUAACCCUGUUUUCCACUACAUAUCACUUUCCGAUCAUCUCCAUGGCUACAUCUCUACCCCCAGAAGCUCUCACCAAGAAAACUUUUCCCUUUAACAAAAACUUCUCCUAUGUCUUUGCCAUCCAAGAAUUUGCAAAGAAAGCUCUUUUUCGUUUCUUCAUGAAAGCAUACCUUGUCACCGAAUCCUUUCCCUUUUCCACUUUCCACCCAGAAAAUAUGUUCCUUACAGGUCUAACUCUUGAUCCAUCCAGAGAAACCACUGAAGAUGUGUUAUGGUACAUCUGGUGCCUAACAGUCCUUUAUGCAACCAAGUUAGUCCUACCAAUUACUCCCACUUUGGAACACCUCAUUGACCCAGACAAAGCCACAUCUCUUACCUGGACAUUACUUGAAUGGUUCUCCCCAAUACCAUGGUAGAGAAAGAAGCUCCAGCAGCUGUUAGAGAUUUACGAUCUUGAACGAAUGCCUGCCUCAGAAGCACAAAUGUUCACAUCAGUCUUUAUCAUUCACAGGCCAUACUUCCAACAUCCAGAUAUAAAACUCUUUUGGACUCAAGACCAUGUAUAUAAAUGGUUUACUGCACCACAUCUCGCUGUCAUUGAAAAUGAAAUCCAAUCCACCUUGCACAACUACCUUUGUCAGUGAAACCACCAAACUCCGCCACACAAAGACAUAUUUCACACCUCCUUAGGACCUCAACAUGACCUCAUCAUGAUUCCUACUCCAUCCGCCAUAUCCAAACCAAAGUCCACAGGUAUCAUUAUCAAUGAAGAAAAACCAGACUACACUGACUUCCUGUUCUAAGAUUCCCAAGACCCAUGGGAUGCAUUUCUCCCUCUAAGUCAACACCUCCACCAGUUUCCCCAACCGACAAUGGAUGAACCCAAACCCUCUCAACCAGGACCCUCCUUCCAACCAAUAUCACCAACUCAACCUACCAAAGUUGACAAAGCCACCCAAACUUCCCCUCAGUAUACUCCAAAGUGUACUCCCAGAGACUAUAAUUGCCCUCGUCCACCAUGCCGUAGUCCCUCCUGUAAGCAUCCAAAGCUCUCCAAAACCUUUUUCCCAAAGCAUACGGACCCAGAUGCAACGGACAGCUCAUUUGACAAUGACUACCUGAAUCUCUCAUCUCCAUAAAGUCAUUUGUCUUGUUGUAAUAAUUGUGUUUUACUUUAUGAUUUUGUCUUGUAUAAUUAUUGUACUUUGCUUUUGCUUUUGCUUUUGUCAACGUCAUCCUUUAAUUAUUAAAGCACUUUGUCUCUUUGUAAUAAUUAAAGGUGUGUCAUGAUGUAACUUUUACUUUUUCGGAAGCUUGUAAAAGUUUGAAGCAAUAAACUCGUGUUUUUCCUCAAACCAUGAAUUUCUAAACUCUCCUCUCUCUCUCUGCAAAUGAAGUUCUAAAGAAAGAAAAAGAAUAAAGAAUUAAAUUUGUUCAUUUUGAAACCUAAGGAAGUAUGCUCUGCACUUGCCUUAUUGCAAGGAUCCUGUGCAUCAGAAAACUUUUGAUCGUUUUUCCUAUGCAUCAGAAAACUUUUGAUUGUUUUCUUAUCUGGUUUGGUACCCUGUAUUGGACUAAAGGAAAGUCUGUUUUGGGUUAUAUAACCCGAGAUGAAAAAUGUUUUAGAAGUUUUUCUAAUUCCCCAUUUGAGUAUAUCAACGGGAAACCGACGACGUAAAUUCCAGAGGUGAUCCUGAAUAGGCACUAGUCUGGUCUGCACUGUCGGAUAACAAGUCACGUACCCUAAUUUAUUAUAUUUUUAAUAAUUUUAUCAAAAUUAUUAUUUAAAAUUUAUAUUUACUACAUAUUAUUAACUUUUAAUUAAUAGUUACAAUUUUUUUUUCACAACUAUUGUAAUUUAAAAACUAUAAUACCUCAAUCCCAAACGAAAUUGUACUAUUAUUAUACUGCAGAUCCCAACAGAGUAGUAGUCAAGUUGGCAUGCUAUACAAACUUCAUCCCCCGAUUCAUGCUUACGAGAUACGAGCAUAUCCCAAGACACCAAAAGCGAGAACCACAAAUCAAGUGUAAAGAACGCUCGUUUUAUUCGAUGGAUCACGCUUACGAUCAACUGAGGAUCAUAGUUUUAUUAGACUACCCAUCCAGCAAUACAAUAUUCCUCCAUCAAAUAUAAUUCAUAUCUGUUCGCAUCGACUGCAAUAAUCAAAGACAGAUGACAAAAGAUAGGGAAGAAAAACAAUUAAAACAGAAACCAUUUAAGGUCCCGUACUAAGAGACUUUGGCAGGAAGGACCCCAGUACAUAAGCCUAAUCAUAUUCAUAAGAGUUUCAUAUACAGAUACAUCCUAUAACUGCGGGAACAUUCCCAACAGUCUGCACAUCAUAACCACACAGGAAAAAUGAAAUCUGAUGUGCAGCAGCACUAAACGGCACUGUCCCAAGGUUAAAUGGUUUAUCUCAAACUGCAAUAGUUAAGUUCUAUUCCUUGAAAACUUCAAAUAGUUUCCAACUUCCAAAGUUGUGCAGUAUUAUCACUUCAAAGAUGCAAUCAAUCACCAGACUACUUAAAGCAGUCCCAAGGUGUCAGUAGGCAGAUCAUUCAUCCAGACAUACACGACAUUGUGACCAAAGAAUCUCAUGCAACUGAAAGCAUUACAGGCUCAAGAAAAUGUUAACCCACCAACUGAUUAGGAAAGGCUCAGCACCAACUCUAAUUUCCAAUAUUUACAGAGAUACUGCAUUUAGGUCCCUUGUUUUUGCCAAUUUUGCUUGUAUAAGUUUGUCCAAGAUGGGAGGCUCCAAAGGAAUUGGGUCAAGACAACGUUCGGCAGCAGCAACUAUCACCUGCAGAUCAACAGAUUAAGUCCAUGUGUCAUAAAAUUUUCCUCUUCUCACCUUCCUGGAGUGUCGGUAUGAACUUUAGUAAAUAAAUAGCAAUCCAAAAAGAGGUGAUGCCAAAGGACAAGUUGCAGGAAAUAAAUUUUGUUAAAUGGAGUGACAAAUUUUUCCUAUUACCUCAUCAAGCAAAAAGUCAAUGGCAGCUUCAUCUUCAACGGUUUCCUUUAAGGGAGUUCUAAGGUACUGGACAUCCAACUGAAUUUGCUGAAAUCCACUUCGGUUAUAAGUCUGGAGUCGGACAAAUUCUUGCAAACUUUUAAGGCUAAGUUUUACUAUAGUUGUUAUAACUGACUCCUGCAAUUUAUAAACAAAUGUAGUUUAUCCAGCAUCAAUAAAGAUACUUUUUUCACCAUCAUUUUGAAUAUUAGCAGUCUCAUACCUGUGUAUAUUCAACUUUGGUAAAAAUUUCGACCUUUUGCUUGAACAAUUUAGCUAGAUGAGUUUCCAAAAGCUGGCUCCUGGCCUUUUGGGUGGUUGACCGACUCAAUUUAUCCUCUCGUAAUGGAUUACUGCGAGAGGAGGUGGUGCUGCCAUUACUAUCAGUCCGACGAUGCCUACGCUGGAGCCCCUGUGGUAGAAUUUGCUUUACCUCAUCUGCUAUUGCUCUCAACUGAAGCAUGAAAAUACCGGAGGAGUAUAAGUUUCUCUUUUUUUAUUUCAAUCACUGAAUAAAUACUUACAUGUACAUGUUUUUCAUUCAAUGAAUAAAUACUUACAUGCACUUGUUUAGAACUUCUAAGGCAUAUAGAACUCUAAUAUUUGAAUUAGUUAAGACUGGCAUCCAAACAGAUACUCUCAAUUUUCAAAUUUUUUUUUUUGAUGAGUCAAUUUUCAAUUUUGAAUCAACAGACAAGAACCCAAAAUUUCAGUGGAAAUGAGGAUGAUGCACCCACCUCUUGAAGAAAUAAAUCAACAAACAUGUGGACUUCUCUUGGCUCCUUGUGCUGAAGAAAAUUUGAAAGUAUUAGGAAAGUUGAAUGCCAUACUAUCUCUCACCAGAUGCUCUCUAAAUGCUCAGAAUAUAGUUAUAUGCACUGACCUUGACCCAAUUAGGCGUUGUCAAUCUUUUCCUCAGGAGAAUUGAUAUCUUCUGAUUUCUCAUGUUUAUGUACUGAAAAAUUUAUGUAUCCAUAAUCAGAUGUUUGACAAAGUUCUCAAGUUAAAAAAAAAAAAAAUUCAAAUGAAACUUAGAACGUGACAGACAGCAUAUGAUAUUAAACUCAUACAUGAUGCAGAAGUUUUUCACCAGAAGACCGAAAAAUCCGACAAAUUUCCCCUGGGACAAAGGCAGGCCCGUUUUCAUAGCCUCUAACACCACCACCAGAGAAGGAAGCAGCUAUUUCCUGACAAAUAAAACAUGAAAACAAGUUAUUGAGAAGACAGAAAGAUUAACUAUGUUAGUCUAUCCUUUCAGAAAAGAAAUAGCACAAAACCAAAAGGUGGUUCCUUGCCUCGGUAAUUCGUGGGAUGGCAGUUUGCUCAAUGAAGACAGAUAGUUGGGCUAGUACCAAAACAAGCCCAACAAGAACUUUGUCACCCUGCGUUCCCUCCAAACCUUGAACUGGACUAGAUGAGUUAUUUCUUCCCGAAAGCAAUAGGAAUCGGUUGUCAAGUGCCCUGAAGAACUCUUGAAAUCCUUCUUGAACCCAAUCAAUAAUCAAGUCUUUUAGUUUAACUAGUACCCCAAUCUUGUCAUCAAGAAGUUGGCGGAAUUCCUGGAAUAUGGAAUGAGAAAUGGAAGAUGUAAACUGGCCAUUUUGAAACUGCAGUAGAUGAGCACUGACAAGUUCAUCCAACAUAUGACAAACAAAAAGUACAGAUAGAGGGGGAAGAAUAAAAGAGCCAAAGGAUUGUUUCUCAGGAAUGCAGUAUGUAUAGACAUGAAAGUCCAUGAUUUUUGCAUGCAUAAAAGAGCACAGUUCUCAUGGCAUUUUAAAUAUUACCAACAAGACAUCCAUGCUGCCUUGAAGUACAGCUUUUUUGCUGGCCUCCAGGGCAACCUGCAAGGGGCAUUCUUCCAUUCCCUCCUUUUGUCCAACAUAAACUUUUGUAAGGGCAUCUGCCAGUUUCAACAGAAUUUAACUCAGAAUACUACACUUUCAAUCAGAUUAACUUUAAGUUGUUGGAUAAAACUAUCCAUUCAAAUUUGUAAGAGCAUGUCAUCGAGCGAUUUUUCAUUCAAAGCUAAUAUCAUUUCCCAUCACGGAUAGUACCAGAAGUGAAAGCAUUAAAGUGAACUUGUUUUCUGGUGAUCUGACAGGACACAAUCUUCAAGGUUUGGCAGAAGAAGCACGGACUAGAUCACUAAAAGGUAUGGGGCAAUAAAGGAAAUCUAAACUCUUCAAAGUACAAGUUCGUAUCUCUUUCCAAAGGGAUUAAUAAAUAAAUAAUAAGGUACUAAAAGCAUAAAUAAAAUUUUCUAUUCAUAGUUAUUUUGAAUCUUUCCCAAUAGUUAAAACUAAGAUGGCAGAGUAACCUGAUAUAUCAUGUAGAAGAAGAGAAAAUUGGCUGGCAACAUAAUGUUUGACAGUAAUCUGGGCAGCCUGAAACCAUACAGGAUUAAUCAGUAUAACAAACUUCAUCCUCAUCAAGAAAACAAUUUAAUAAUAACAAUCCGAAGGAAAACCUCCAGGGAAAACUCUGAGAGAACAGCUUCAUGUAACACUUCAUCCAUCAGCAAAACAUCUUUCCAAAUCAUUCCUGCAUAUUUAGUGAAGCAUUUCAAACAACCAAAUUCAAGAAGGAAAAAAGGAAGUUUAAAUUUAACAAGACUAAAUAUAAACUACGGUAAAACAUGAUUUUGCAAGGUCAUGAAGAAAUUAACAGCAUUCCACGAAUGAUAUACACAAUAAGUGAUGUCAAGUACAAGCACUUUUUCAGGAAGGCCUUGUAGCCAACUUGAAUAAUAAGAAAAAUUCAGGCACCUUUUGGAAAAAGUAAAAUUCAGACAGCAAAUUCAAGAAGAAUAGACGUGGUGCAGGACAAAAUAAAAUUACUUACGAAGAACACCCAAUAAAUCAGCUGAGCUUAUUCGUUUCUUUCCAUACUGCUCAGCAGUUUCAAAGUUCCUAAAAGAAUAAACAAUAAACUACAUUUAACAGCCGUCAUGAUCCUUAAGUUUAAUAAAAAUAAAUAAAAAAAUCGGCAUUGCCUCACUUGGUAACCAAAUCUUGCACAAGUCUAAUUAGCUGCUUCUCUGCGUCGGGAAAUAUUACUCGAUAAGCUUGAACAGCCUCCACAAAUUCUCGAACAGAAGCCUGAGUUGAGAAAAUCAAAAGACAUAUAUCAAAUUGGGAACCAACUCAAUUGGCUCAGACAGCCUAUACGUACCCAAAAUCUGAAUCAUAAAGGUGCUAUUUAGUUUGAGUUACCUCAUGAAUUGUAGAAGGAACUAACUCGGUAGUUUUUUCUUGUUUAGAAGGAUCAUUUGACUUCAAUAAACAAUUGCUUAAAUCUUCGUCCUUAAGCUGAAGGUCCCCAAGAGAUUGUUCCAACUUUUCAAGCAGUUUUGCCUUCAAGCUGUCCACCUAUCAAAACAUGAAUGAGCGGUUAUGUGAAAUAUGCAGCAGAUAAGGACAUUUCAAAUGAAAUAAUGAAAAUCUGAAAGUUGGACGUGUUUGAAUAAAUAACUUCAAUGGCAACAGCAUUUGUUUGUCAUACAUGCUGCAAAAGUACAGACUCCGGGACAUCAAAGAUUCCCAAACAUAGUGUUUCAAUUCAAAGGACGAAGCAGGAAGAGAAUGUUUUCUUCCUGAUGAAACAAAUUCUCUUGUAUGUUAUCACAUACCACAAUAGUUAAUUACUUUUCCCCAUUUAGAAGUAUAGACUAUUAAAUUAACGGAAAAAUAAACCCAAAUUGAAGUACGAACCGGAAAAUCCAACUGCUUAAGAAGAACUGCAGCCUCAGCUCUUGCAUGUGUAGAUUCUGAAUCUGAGAACAGCUUCCCCUGAAAAGUAAAAGUUCACAAGACACGAGUUUUCAUCCCAACUAAAACAGGAUAAAAGGUCUUUUCAGUUCUUCAGAUUAAACUGCAUUUUUACUUCCUGCGUUAUAUGAAUAAUAUGCAUGCUUCAGGUAAGCAAAGAUUUUCCUACAAUGACUCCUGGUUUUGCAAACUAAAAAGUAACACAUCUAAGGCCAUAAAUCAAUACAUGCCUGUCUGCAGUUAUGUGCAGGUACUAUGGAUAACUCACAAUGGGCGCAAGGUGUUAUCCACAUAUUUUCAAGAAAGCUCCAUUAACAUAACAAAUAGCUUGCUAAGACAUUUUCAAAUAUGUUGGACAAAAUUAGCUUACAUAGUAUAGUUACUUAAUGAGCCGGUACUCUUCUUAGUAAAGUGAUCAAAGUCCCCUGGCUUACUGCCAACCCCAUUUACUAGGCAUUCAGGUUUACUUUGAGAAAAGAUGUAAUGGCAACCAUAAAUUCUGACACAUUUCAUCCCUAAGAUUCAAUCCAAAAUAUAAGAAUCUUGCAAGUGAAAGUUAGGAAGAUCUAUCCACCGAUCCUAUACUUUCAGCUUUGAUUUGGUCUUAAGCAAAAUCAGCCAGCUUAACUCAGUUCACUUAACAAAGAAGAAAAUACCUGCAAGUUCUUUAUUACAAUGGCAAUUGCUUCUUCAGAUGCUCGCUUACAAUCCUGGAAUGAAGAAUCCCCAUAUGCCUAGCGAGAAGAAUAUAACAGAAGGUCAAAGCUUCAGAAACAGAUGUCAAAGCUUCAGAAACAGAUGAACAUAGAAAUAUAAAAAUCAUGCCCGGAAACAAAAAGCAAAGCAAAAAAUUGGCAAAGAGAUAGACUGAACAAUGGAAUAAAACAGUCAGAAUUGACCUUAAAAAUUGGCAAUGCUCCAGUGUAGAACCUGACUGCAUCAGCAUAGGCUUCUGAUUCGAUACAUUUUCCAAGUCUAGCAGGUAAAUCAUAAAUGAACUGCUCUUUAUCACAGAAGAAUAUAUCUGUUAAAUGCCUUAAAUCGUAGAUUGCCAAACCAAGACAUACAUAAAGCAUAAAAUUGGUAACUCAAACUGCUGAUUAUGAAUUUAAAAGAAAAUUUUAUUACAUGUCCAGCUGCUACUAUUAACCGCAAAUCUUUUAAACUGCUCUCAGCACAAGCUUGAGCAGCCUGACUAACUUUGUGGAUCGUUAAGGAAGCCAGCUAUAUCAGGCUAUUCUACUGACUUAGUACCACUGCUGCAACAUGCAAGUUUAUAAUUUAUAUUUGUCCUUGUUGAUCAACCUCAUAACCAAGUUAAGAGGAUUGAAAAAGCCCAAAAGUGAUGGAUUCAAAUCCUAUUUCUCUCACAGACAUGCACAUACGUACAAGCACACAUUUGCAGACACUGAGACAAAGCCAAUAGAAUGUUUGAUAGUUAUUUAAUACCUGAACUUUCCGCAGAAGGUUGCGCUUGCAAUGUAAUUUCUCUAUAUGUUCUCUCUUUUCAGAAAGAGAAGUGUUGACCCCGUCACUUCUAGAUUGCACUGACUUUAUCUGUAUGAUUGGUGAAGAGAAUGCAUACCUUAUCAUCCUUUUUAUUUUCUUCAUUUUAUCUUUUUAGUUUAUCAAUAAACCAUGAUUCAAAGAACAGAUUUAACAUGGUAGUAUAAGAUCUUUUGCAUACCUUCUCAAGGAGUUGUUCCAUAUUCGCUUCCAUGCCCACAAUAUUACUAUUCAUCCUGUUACAAGGGCAUACAUUAAUAUUUCGUAAAAGAGGGUAGACAACAGAACCACAACAUUAAACAGCAUGUUACUGGUAUCUGGUGUCUAAAAGCCUGGCUCAAUAAAAAAUAUAAAGCUGAUGAACUGUAAAAAUACCGAAUUAUCACCCAUGUAUACUGUAACUUGAGCCAUCACAUACUCAAAGAUCAAAGAACCGAGAAAACUACCUUUUGAUUGUGUCAGUGGCGCUGAUAAACUUGCUGUAAUUUUCAUAGACUAACAUCUGCAAGUCAGUAUCAAGAUUUUUUAUCUCAGCAGCCAUUUCAACAUGCCUCUGCAGAAGCCCUUCCAAACUCGACUUUUGUACCUAUUCCAUUUCAAGACACAUAUCAAGGAUCAAAACUUUCUGAUAUUCAACUUUUUUCCAACAAGAGAACAGUUAGACUGAACUUAAUAUUACCACCACAUUCGUAUUUCAGAAUAAACUUGUCUACUCAAAUCCAUCUAGUUGGAUGAAUCUGAACAUUUAUACAUGUUAUUCCUAAAAUAUCCACAUAUAUUUCCAAAUUUUAGACCAAAUCAUUUCCCUCUCACAACCCUCAAUCACAUGAUUAUCUCCUCUUUUAACCUAAUGAAGGCAUAAUUCGCUUGAUCACAAGCUCAUCUCUGCUUCUACCACACGCAAGCAUUCUUUUAAGAAGAAUAAGAUAAACUAGCAUAUAAACCAACCAUUUUCCAACAUAGAUUUCCCAGUCAGUGCACCAGUUAGUCACUCCCUAAAACCUUUUUAAUAAUAAAAAAAACACUGCAUACAGUUAUCAUUGAAAUCAGAUUCAGUAUGACUAAUCAAUUUUCAUCUCAAAGUUCAGCCUACUGACACAUUCAAAAUUCACGACUUAUGUUUAGCAUCAAUGCCCCGGCUAUAUUAACCAGUAAUAAACCAUAGAUCCUUUCGGUUGGAAUUUAAACCUCACAAAAAACACGCAAUUAAUAUAUGUAUCGUCAUUAUCGGAUCCGUGUAGAUAGUACAGAGUGCAAAAUCAGAAGGCCGUGGCGUACCAGGAGAUUCAUGUAUUGAUCAGCAUCGAAUGAAUUGGUGUCGAUUGCAUCUAACGGUACGUAUUUCCCAGAAGAUUCAUUGGGCAUGGAAGGAUCGGGAGCGUAGAAGCUCGACAGCAGAUCUCUCAUUCUCUUUGCUUUGUCAUCCAACGGAACGUCGUCCACGGCCAUUUUCUCCACAGAGUUUCCACUAUAUUAUCACUAACUAAACUACUUACUCUAAAAAUCAAAUUUCUACGGGAUCGAACAAAACCAAAAUCAAUUGGCUGAAUUCACUUGGUAGAAGAAGUUGAAAAGCGAAAACCAGACGCAGAACUGAUUGGAAGGAAACAAAAAAAAAAACAAAAAAAUGAAGACAACGAAGAUCAAUACGACGUCGCUAGCCGGUUACCAAAGUUGAAACGACGACGUUAUAGCUUAGCUUAUUGUUUAUUUAAUUUUCAUCAUUCCUUGUUGUAAAUAUUGAUUUAAGGCAAUCCCUAUCUUAUAUGUAAUGUAAAAUUCAUCCUCUCAAAUAAACAGUAUGUAAAAGUGUAUAAGAUAGGAGAUCCUUGAUUUAAUGAUUUUGUCCGACAUAUUUGGACUUAAUUGCUGAUACCGAGUAAAAACGUGAUUGCUACAGACGUGUUUAAUAAAAAAAAUAUAAUUAUGAAAUAAAAAUAAAUAACACACAAUAAAUAUAUUUUUUAAAUAAAAAUAAUUAACAUAUAUUAUUUUUUUAUUAUAUAAGUAAUAGAUCAAUUCAAUUUAAUUUUUAAAUUAUAAUAAGUAGUAUCAAUUAAAUAUUUUAAUAAUAUAAUUUACUAAACAAGCCUAAGAUUAACAUAAUUAUAUAACCUUAUAAGCAGUAUAAAAUGCUUGACAUACACAAUUCAAUAAUUCAAGCAUUAUACAUCAUGACAUUAACGUUGGCUAUAUUAACAUCCUAUUAUUGCAUGAUGAUAAAAUUGACAAGCUUAUUCGAAUUCCAACCCAUUAGUCGAAUUCAUUCAACAAACAAAGUCCAGUCACAAACUUAGUGUAGGUGACAAAUCUUCCCACCUGACAGCUGCUGUGACAACAAAGCAUCAUGAAAUGUUGACGCAUCGACAUAAUUAAUAUCUUCUGUGAAAUGAGGAUGGUGUUGUAAACCAAAUUAUGGGUGCAAACGCCAAAUACUGUCAAUAAACAAAAGCUAAAGAGACCUGGCCCAGAUGUAAACUCUUAGUCACUUAGGCCUAGGGGUGGGCAUGGGUUGGUUUGGGUUGGAUUUUAAGUUAACCCAAACCAAACCAUAAAAAUUUGGAUCCAACUCAAACCAACCCAAAUAUUUUUAACCCAAACCAAACCAAACCAUUUGGGUUUGGUUUGGGUUUGGUUUGAAUUUUAUUAUCAAAAUAAUUUUUAUUUUAAUAAAAUUUAAUUAUAUCAAAAUUAUAAUAAUUAUUAAUUGUUAUUAAUUAUUAAAUUGAUAUUAAAAUAUAAAAAAAUAUAGUGGAUAAAAAUUAUAAAUUUUACAAUAACUUAAUCCUUAAAUUAAAGAAUACUAGAAAAUCAAAAUAAAGUUUAAUCACAAAAAUUAUUAUUUCUCAAUAAAUAAGAACGUACACUUUAAUAAUAAACUUUCACAAACAUGACAUUAACAAUCUAAUAAUAAAUUUUGCCACUUGUUAUUUAUUUAAUUAUGCAAUAUUUGUUUUUAUUUAUCGUUUUGGUAGUUUUGCGUUAUGUUGUCUACUUAUAUGUUUAAUUUUAGGGAGAUUGAUAAGAAAUAUAUGUUUUGAUAUGAACAAAAAAAUUAAUAAUAAAAUUUUUUUAUACUUAUUUAUUUUGUGAAAAUUUUCUUAUAAUAAAUAUAUAAGAAAAUUAUUAGUCAAAUGAUAAAAAAAUUAUUAUAAGAAAACUUGAUUGACAAAUAAAAAUUUAUUAUAAGAUAAAUAAUAAAAUAUUUUACCUAUACUUUUUACAUUUAAUUUUAAAAUAUUACAAAAUAUUUAUUAUAAGAAAAUGUUCACAAAAUAAAUAAUUACAAGAAAAAAUUUUAUUAUUAAUUUUUCUGCUCAUAUCAAAACAUAUAUUCCUUGUUUUAAUACUUAAUAUGGGCAUUACAUUCAAUUAUUGACCAAAAAUUAGCCGCCAUCUAGCAUAUCGGACCCAGUCCAAACCGAGUUAUUAUUGAUUAUUAGUAGAGUCUCCUGCUCUUUCUAUGAUGAUCCUUCCAUGUGGGAGGAAUUAUUUUUGUAAAUAAGAAAAAAAAUUAUGUUAUUUAUAACAAUAUUUAUUUAAUUUAAAUUUAUUUUUACUAUUAUUUUCAUUUUCUAACUGUUGACAAUUGAUCACGCCAUAAAAAAUUUAAUGAUGGCCUUUCACUUGUUUGUGUUCAUUUAUUUUGUUUUCAUUGGCCGGAUUUAAAAAGCCCAUGACAAGGUCGCAUUUUUUAUCUAUAAAAAAAAAUUAUAUUUUUAAUAUUAUUUUAUUUUUUUGUAAUUUUAUAAUUUUUAAAUUUAUUUCAAUGAAAUUAGAAAUAAAAAAUAAACUUUAAAUGUUUAAAACUUUACAUAUAUGUAAUAGAUGGCUAAAUAAAUAUAAUUAUUUAAAAUAAUAUAUAUUUUAUAAUUUCUUUUAAUAAAAUUCGAGUUUCAAGCCAAAUCAGAGACUUAUCGAGUGAUGUCUAUGACUGAUUUGACUUCAUCCCUGGGUCUGGUAUGGGUCAAAAUUAGGCAAGUAUUUGUGACACCCCUAAAAGAGAGUCAAUUGAAAAUAAAUAAGCUAAUUAUAAGGUAAGUUGUGCAGAGUUUCUAUUAACGGAUUUGUCUUUACAUUUCAAUCCUUCAUGUAUUGUAAAAAAUAAGAUUUAAAUUAUAAAAUGGAAGGUCAUCUAUUUAUAAUAAACUAAUGCCUCUCAGUUUAUGUCUAAGAGGCAUUAUAUUAUUUGUUACUACAAUUCAAUCGGAGAGUUAUAUGUGUAACAUGCCAUUAAUUUAGUUGUGUGCAACAUACAAUCAAUUUCGUUAAGUGCAAUUUGCAGCACACCCUUUGAAUUGAUGGGUGUGUUUCACACAUGCCGGAUAGACAAUCCAUAAUAGAUGAACAUUAAAUCAAGACGAUCAAGCCUCUGUGCAAAGCAGAUUGUGUUAGAAGUCAAGCAGAACUACGAGGCAAAUAUCAUUAGAGCAAAGAAUCGUUCAUUGCUCGUCAACAAUACAAGCUUCCAAGCUUCGAGAGCAACUUCAUCAAGUAUCUUCGAACAACACUCUCAGCUUUAUUCAAUCUCUAAUGGAGCCUUUUUUUAAUUUCAUUUUAAUGGAAAAAUAAUUUGAUAGUUAUACUAUAUAUAUGAUAUAAUAUAUAUGCAUUUGCAGCCAAUCGGAUUAUUUUUCUUCUUAGAGUGAUACUCGUGUCUAAUUUAUUUAUAUCCCCCUGCAUCUUAAUUUGUUGGAUAUAUGUAUGUAUGUACAUAAUUUUUUUUUCAUCAACAUGUACCAUUUUUUAUAAUGUUUUACAACACAUUUGAUUAAAACUGACAAUGUUUUAACUCAUUAUUUAUAAUUUCUGCUUAUUAUCAAAAUCGUUAUAAUCCUUUCUAACACAACAAAUUAAAAGCAAAAUUUUGUAGCAUGCUCGUAUAACUCUAUAGUUUAAUAGUGUUAUAAUAUAUAGUUAUUUGCUAAGCACAACAUCGUAUGUUCGAAACAUGUCAAAAGAAGAAAUAAAUCAAUGAAUAAAGCGAAACUCCUUCUUUGAUUUCCUAUAGAAUAGAUGAUCAUUUGCGUAAGUUUCGGUGGGCUAGUCCGCAAGAUAGUUUCAUUAAACCGUGUAAAUCCCGCCAUCAAAAAAAGGAAGAGUGUGAAUCCCACACAUUGCUUGGCGAUACUGAUGAGCCCACAACACUUGCCCAGCAGGCCAGCAGGAUAAUUAGACUAUAUUAUAAUCGCCUGCCACUAAUAUAAUUUGAUCGAUAACUUUGUUAGUCGUUCGUACUUGCCCAAUUAACGAAAAGCCGUGCUGCCCGCGCAUCACCUAAUUAUUUUAUAUAUAUAGAGAGAGAGGGAAGAUUGCAAUUUCCUAACUAAUAAUUAUUUUAUUCACCUUACAUACAUUUCUCACAUGCACAAAAACAAGAAUGCUAUAUAAAUUUAUUAUGUUUUUUAAUAUAAUUUUAAUAUCAUUUAAAAUAUAAAAAUCUUUUAGUUCUCUUAAAAUAAUAAAUGGAUUCCUUAAGAAAUUCAGAUCAUCUAAUUUUUUUACAGACGCUAAUUAGUAAUUUAUGAAAAUAAAAAUAAUAAACGAAUACACCUAAAUUGUAUAUGACUUAAUGUAUGUUGUCAUAAAUUUCUUAAAUGACCAAAAAAAGAAAAAUCUGUUUCCUUGGUUGGCAGGAUUUAUAUGCCGGACGGAUAACCUGUUUUCAUUUUUCCAUAUUAAUCAGUUCCGUAAUUAAGUUCCCUUUGUAACGCCUCUAGAAGCCGAGUACAGGAAAUCAGGAAUCGCCAUGGAAUAUUCUAAAAAAAGGGAAAGUGCUCUUGAAGGUGCCUCAAAAACUUUAGCGCACAGCUGGCGUCACUCAACACGCCAGCCAUUCCACCGGCACCAACCCCCUGUGAAAAUAGCAUUAAAAAAACAUUAAAAUGCCACAAUUUUUUAAUUUUCUUAGACCAAUAGUAACCCAUCUACUCCGCUAUAAAAGCCCCAGUACAUGGCUUCAUUAACCUUCUUUCGCCUCGCUCUGGAUUAGCUCGCGUUGACAAUCGAUCGUCUUUUGCGUUUCGUCUUUGUUUCGUUCUAGCUAAGCAACAGCUAAGUUAUCUUUUUCUCUCUUUCUUUUCCUUUUAUCCUCGCUCCUAAAUAGUCCUUGAAUCUUUAGAUCUGAUCCAAAUCCAGGUUUUUUUCUUUGGUUUUUUACUUUCAAUCGCUGCCUUCUGUUGGAUCUGGACUUAUGCGAAGUUAGGGUUCUGAAAACAACACCAAUGAUUCUAGAUUUUCUAUGAGUUAUUCCGUCCUUAUGAAGAGAAUUAGAAUUCUUCACUCUUUCUCGGUUGUAUUUCUCUACUGGUUCUACGUGUUUUCAUGAAUUAGAAAUCUCAAUUCUGUCGUUUGAUCACGCUUUCUAGUAUCCAAUUAUUUUAAUCCAUUUUCUUGUUUGCAACCCUCGAUUUCUUAAUUGUAAGUAGUUAAUAUUUAUUAAACUAGAAAGAAAAAACAAAACAAAUUUAUGGCUUCAAUUCAAAGACAAGGAAGUUCCGGCUCCGAUAGCGACCCGCGAUAUGCGAACGUUGACGAGCGGAAAAGGAAGAGGAUGAUAUCGAACCGUGAAUCGGCCAGGAGGUCAAGGAUGAAGAAACAGAAGCAGAUGGAGGAUUUGGUCAAUGAAAUCAACCAUUUGGAAAGUGCCAAUGCCAUGCUUAAGCAAAACAUUGAUUCAUCCGUCCAACGCUAUGUUGAAAUGGAGUCCGCCAACAACAUUCUGAGGGCUCAAGCUAUGGAGCUGACUGAUCGUUUGCGCUCCUUGAACUCUGUCCUCCAGAUAUGGGCUGAGAUCAGUGGCAUUAACGUGGAGAUUCCUGAGAUUCCAGACCCUCUUAUGAAACCUUGGCAGCUUCCCUGUCCAAUGCAGCCACUCGUGGCUUCUGCCGAUAUGUUGCAGGAUUAGGAUGGGUUUUCCACCUUGUCGAUGCUUGAAGGAAGUUGGUCUUUCUGGUUGUCUGUUCUAGGAUUUGUUAUGUUUUAUUUUCGUUGAAUUGUUAAGUUAGAUGAACGCUGGUAUGUGUGUUCUUUCCAAAGAGGAGUGCCAUUUUGCGGACACCUGUUAUCUGUUUAUAUUUAUGGUUUUAUAUUUAUGGUUUACUUAUUCUGUGUUGAAUGGGAUGUGCUUUUUAGAUUGAACAUUUUGCUAUCAAGUAUUUUUGUUUGCAUUGUGCUUGAUAUGAGGAGUGAAUUGAAUGUUUGUUAGGGCCUGGAUAAAUAGUUCAUCUGCUACAUAUCUUGUAUUUCAAUACCUAGGACUAGGAGUAGGGGACGUUCACAGCUAUUUAUCCAUUAGCAUACUGUAUCAAGCACUGCUUGGUUCUCACUUCCUUUUCCCUAUUGUAACUUGCUCUAGAAUGGAGAUGAUUAGAUUGCUUUGGUUAUUUCGCUUGACUGAUGAAUGAUGAAUGUCAGUUUCCAUGAAGUACUAAUUAUGGUUUGAUUAUUAGAACACUAAGCAGCUAUGCCUUUUACACUGAGUUUUUGAACGAUUCAAGCAGUUCUGCAUUGCUUUCCACUUUUGAUCUGCUGUUGAAUUUGAUUAUGAAAUAUUAAAUGUUCAGAGUUGUUGCUGUUGACUGUUUUUGCAUCCCCAGCUUGUUAUCAUUCACAGCACAGAUAAUUAAUAAUCUCCUUUGCCUGAGACUCUUAAAUUAUUUCAUCUUUUCUUCAUCCAGUUGCUGAAUGAACAAAGUGAGGCAUGCAAACCGAUAAUGGCUCAUUACUUCUUUUAAUGCGUGAAAUCUAUUAAAAUCAUUUCUUCGCAUUAUAUACUAAGCUUGAUCUACAAAUAUAUUAUGGGCUCGACCAUAUGACCCCUCUUCUGCUGAAUUAGUUUUUGUAAAAGGAGAUUUACUUGGCUUGUAUUAACAUGAUUUUUCCUGAAUGGUUGGUUUGGGCUCAAAACUCACUACUACCCGAUUUUCACCUGGUAAAUUUAUUAUGAAUGAGCCUUUUUUUCCCCCUCCCACUUGUUAGUUGCGUUGUUGAUGGAUAUAACAAUGAAGAUGCUGAUUGCGUUGGUGAUGGUUAUAAAAUGAAGAUGCUGAAGAGAUAUUAUUAUGUAUUUGGAUGGUCCAGUGAGAUGAAACGUUGAACAGGCACAAGAAAACACGUUCCUAGCCUCCUAGGCUGACAUAAUAUAAUUUUUAAACAAUUUUGCAGAGCGGCUUGGUGGGUCAUAGAAUUUUUCGAUGCCAGCGUAUACCCAUGUGGAAUUUAAUACUACCGGGUGAUACCGUUUUCAAUUUUGUCUGCAAGACGCGUGACUGGCAGUCCAACUGAUGACAGCAGUCAGCCGUAGCCGGUAAACGGGCUGUUUUAGAUAAAGAGCAAUCUGUUUGUGAAAAUUUCAAAGCCUGCGCCUUCAAAACAAGCUGUAGACGGGUUAAUUAGUUUUCCACAACCACUAAAUUAAUUAUUUGAGUAGCGAUUAAUUACAAAUAUAAAGAAAUUAUUUUUCAGUUGUCGUAGUAACGUAAGAGCACCCGGUUUUUUCGGCUUUUUAAAUCUGGUUAAUUGAGGACUGAUAAAAUGACAAAUCUUUUCCAGUUUACAAAUAUUUUAUACAAUUCUGAAUGAGUGUGUUUGACGAGCUUUUCGAUGGACGAGUUGGAACCGCCACUGUAAACAACCAACAGAAAGCCCAAUGCUUGUUAAAGACUGACUGGCCCAUACCGUUUAAAUAGGUUGGACAUUGGACAUGCAUGCAAGGAUAGUCCACGGAUAAGAAUUAAGAUACCAACAUCUUUCGUUCACCAGCGAAGAUAAUUGCGUAAUCAGAAUAUAAGAUUUUUCUCAUAAAGGGGGAGCAUAAGAUUAAAAUUUAUAAAUGUUUCAUCAUCAUAUAAACAAGUUACUACAAACAUAACAUAAAAGAUGCGCUUGAAACAUAAACGCUAAAAAUCAGAAGAACUAUUUAUCAUUCAAGUUUCCAUAUGGUAUUGUAGUAUAUGAAUAUCAAGGUGACCAAAACAUCACGAUCCCAUCACAUAACAACAUCCAAGGACUUAAAAAGGAGAAAAAAAAAACAUAAUUAAAAGAGCAUAACGACGAUGUUAUCAAUCUUCAUAAGUGCGGCACUCAUCGGUCUCUGGGUUGUCCUUACAGUAAGCCUCCAAAGGAUCGGAAUCCUUCUUCCUCUCUCUAGCAUGGCUGGCCGCGGCACUCAGCUCCUCCACCUCGUCCCAUGCAGCAGCACACUCGCCACUAGCAGGGUCCCCCUCGCACGCCUCCUCUGCACUCUUGAUGCUUUGCUCCACCUUCUCUGAGAUUCUAUCGGGAGCAGCUCUCAGGGGUUGCAUGUGCAUGCGCCCUGUUCUAAACUGAGCGGGCCUUUUCCUUGAUGGGUUGUUGAGCCACAGAGACCUGCUGGGUUGAACCUUUGACUUCGGGUCUGUGAUUUUGGCAAAGACGCUGGGAGUUGAGAGAUUGACACCGGCUAUUGUUGCCAUUCUCGCCUCUUGCUCUUCUUCUAUUUUGUUGUUUUGGCUUUGGUAAUACGGUCUAUUCAGAAAUGAUACCGUGAUGACAGUAGAUUUAUACAAUUGAAGCCCAUAACGCUUCGUGAACACAUAUUUCUUAUCAUAUGACGGCCAAUUGUAGACUGGCACGUAAGACUGGCUUGCAGAUAUUUUCAAAGAAUAUCAAACUUUCGUGUUGCUACUGUUUAACCAUGCCUUUCGAGGGGGAAAAAUAGUAAGAAAUAAAAAGGGCGAAAAAAAGAUUAUUACAUUUUUAGUUUUUGAAGAUAAAAUAUGGCAAAUUAUAAAGCUAGAUACCUACGCUAUUUUUAAUUAUCGGGGUAAAUAAAGAGCGUGGGAAAUAUCAAAAAAGGGCAAAGGCCAGACACUUGAAGGGGCUGUUUGAUCAAUUCAAUUCUAUAGCCCGUAGUAGAAAUACAUGACACUACCAGAGUAGUAUUAGUGGGCGGUGGUUACAAUUUCUCUCAACCAAAGAGCCUUUGGAUAUAAAUAAAUAAAUCAAUAAAUGAAAAAAAAAAAUCUUUGAUUUUUAUAGAAGAAGUGAAAGGGAUAAAUAAAUCAAUAAAUGAAAAAAAAAAAUCUUUGAUUUUUAUAGAAGAAGUGAAAGGGAAGUUCUUCUGAAAAAUGAAGUUACAGCUAUUUGGCAUUAGCCUGUUUCUCUCUCAACACAUGCCUGGUGUUCUCGGUAUCACCGCGCUACUUCAGUACUUCUACAUUCAUGGGCUAGUUGGGUGGCAUAAUUUAUGUUUCGUAGUGAUCAUUUUACAUGUUAUUUGUUAAUAGAUUCAGAAAGAUUUUCUCAUCUGGGAAAAAAAAAAGAUAGAGAAAGAUUUUGACAUUAAAAUAUAUAUAUAUACAAAGUCAACUAACACAACACAUGAUAGAUUGAGUAAUGUUUUCACAUAAAAAAUAAAGUUAAUUAAUACGUAAUACGUUAAAAAUGAUUAUUAACACAUUAUUUAAAAUACAAAUUUAUAUAUCAACUAUGUACAUAUAGCAUUACUCAUCACUUUCAAAGAAUAUAUCCGCAGCAAUCAUGAUUAAAUAUGAUAUUGUUUAAGAUGGGAGAAUUUAAUUUUCGCAAUCAUACAUGGUACACACAUAAUGAAGUUAUAAAUAAGUGUUAUUACAAUCCGUUGUAAAUUUGUUAAAAUUACUGUGGGAUCAGAGCUGGAUUUAAUGUAUGUUUGGCAUGGUUUAUUUGAUAACAAUAAGUACUUAUUUAAUUUUAAAACAUCUUCUUAGAAUUUUUAUUGUUGUUUGGUUAUAUUUUGAGCAAAGUUUUUGUGGAUUCAAUAAGUUAUUUUACCUAUACUACCAAAAACUUAAAAUUUCAGUUUUUAGAAAGAGAGGUUUAAGAUUUUUUUUUUAAAAACUAAAUUAUCUAAUAUACUCCAUUUUUUACUUCCCAACGUUAAAACAUUUCUUUUGCGAAGAAAGAUUAGUUGCGCGCUGUCGAGCACAUUAUUAUGCUCGACGAGUCUCAAAACACUUGAUGAUUGCCUGAACUAUUAUUAAACAUCAACUGAUGAUCAAGUGAUACAUGGCCCUCAAACAUAUUAUUAUGUGCGACAAUCUCUUCUUUUUAUAUCAUAACUUUAAAAACUUGUUUAUUAAAAUAAAUUUACAAUUUUGAAUAAGAUCUUACAUCAACCUCCAAAGAACUACAAUAUUUUUAGUAAAGUUAUAUUUGAACAGUUGUGCUAAAUGGAGCCUUAGAAUAUAACAAUUCUCUUAGUGGAGAAGAGAGUAAUAAAUUUUUUAGUUAUUGUUCAUUCUCUGUCAACUAAUUUAUGAGAUAAUAAAGAUUUUAAUAUAAAUUAAAAAAAGUAUUAAAAGUCAAAGAUUCUAAUGUUAAAUAAUUAAUUAUUUUAGAAAAAUGAAAAGGUAAAAAAAAUUAAUUUUUUUCCUUGUACAGACUAAAAAUGAAUUAAUUAAUGUUUAGAAAAUAUGAGUUGGUAUAAAAAUAAAUAAAUCUUAAUUGUAGAAUAAUUAUUAAUUUGAAAAAUGCCUAAAAAUAGAAUUUUCUAUAAUACAUCACUUAAAAAAAUAACUAAAAAAUAAAUUGUUAUUAAAAUAUGGGCUUUGUACUCUAAGCAAAUACCUAUAUUUAAAGCCGUCUUUAAGGUAGCGUUUACAUUUUAGAUUAGAGUGAGAAUCAUGAAUAGUAGGAAUCUUGAAAUUAAGAGUGUGGAAUGAGAGUGAGAGUAAUUGUUUACUUACACUGAAAUGAGAGUAUGAAAUUGUCUUGGAUUAGGAGUAAAUAAUUUUAAAUUACAGUUUUACCCUUAUUUAAAGAAUUGUAAUUUUUAAUUACAAAAUUAAUAAAAAAUAUAUAUUUGAAAAAUAAAAUAUUUAUUUUAUUAUAUUUAUAAAUUAAUAAUAAUUAAUAAUAUUCUUAAUUAUGUAAAUCAUAAUUUUUUAUUAAUUUUAAUUUGAAUUAUGUAAAUAAAAAAUUAUUAAUAAUAGCAACACAAAUGAAACAUUAUCAUUGAUAAUAUAGUACAAAAUUAAUAUUUUCUUAAAAUAAAAUAUUUAUUAUUAUUAUUAUUAUUAAAUAAAAAUAAUAAUAUUAUAUUUUCAAAUAAAGAUAGAAUAUAGUAAUAUUAUUAAUUCUCUAUGAGUAUAAUAAUAUUAUUUUUAAGUAAUUUUAACUUAGAAUCAAUGUAAAUUAUUAUUUUUAACUAAAUAUACUACCUCCCCAUAGAGUGAGAGAAAUCUACAUUCUUCACUCCCACUCCAAAAUGUAAACAUUACAUAAGUGGAGUCUCGUAAUUUUUCUUAUUAAUUCAAAGAAUACCAUACUUAAUUAUAGAACUUUACUAAAAAAAAAAAAAGAGCAUAAUUACUCUCAUUUGACAUUUGUAACAGUUUACACAACAAAACACGAAGAAACUUACAAAUUAAGUCCUAAACUGUCGCCAUAUUUUCUCAAAUUGUAAUGGCUGUGUUUCGUUGAAUGUAAGAAAAUCCUAAUUUAUGGCAAAGAGCCGGGAUAUAGGAAAGACUAAUCACUAAUGUCUACAGUGGCCCAACCGAAUCAACAAGAAGAAACCGAACACGUAAAAUUAUGACGACAUUGUGACGUUCCGACCUGCAUGCUCACUGAACACACCAUGUACUUGCCCGCACCAAAUAAUUAUCUUUUUGCCGCUAAGAUUCUUUUCGGUUACCGCAACGACGCAUGAUUGGUCCCGAGAAAGUAAGCUAAAAAAAGAAAACGGACAAGGGGAAAAAAGGAUGAAUCAAUGAACCAAAUGGUGCGCGGUCUUCACAAAGUCUGUCACCGAGGCGUUUCGCUUCUCACGCCAUCAUCUCUCUCCCCACCGAUCUUUCUCUGUCUAAAACUGGGCCGUGUCCCUGGCCACCUGAGAACUCACUCCAUCAAAACCACAACCGCCAUGACAGCCUCCAGGCUGCACCACUUGGUGCCUAUACACUCAGUUUCUUCCAAAAAUGACGGCACUAACGGCUCUUUAUCUUCUUCAAAUGCUGUUGCCACCGAAGACGAAGGUACUAUUGACAGAAUUUGUAUUACUGAUUGUUUCUUUUCAUAUUUGCUUCCGAGUGGAGUAUCGUUUAAUAAAACCAAUUAGUAUGGCGCUAUCCGUUCAAAUACUUUUGUAUUUUGUAAAUCGCGGAUACUAUUUUGUUUUGUAAACUUAUUUCAUUUAUUUGCUGGAAUAUUUUACAAUUUAAAUGCUUCUUGAUAGAAUCUUAUCGCUAUGGAUUGAAAUGAAAUUAUAUUUUUAUAAAUUUUUUAUGUUUAAAUUGUUUUCAUGAUAUUUGUGAGGCAAAAAACUACUGUGUUAUCCAAUUACUACCUUGCUAGUUGAUGUUAUGAUAUCAAAUCAUUUGACGCAGACAACUUAGAAGGCAGAUAUCGCCUUCCUCCACCUGAGAUUAGAGAAAUUGUGGAUGCUCCACCCCUUCCGGCACUGUCAUUUUCACCACAAAGGGAUAAAAUACUGUUUCUCAAGCGAAGAGCUUUGCCACCAUUGGAGGAACUGGCUAGGCCAGAGGAAAAGCUAGCUGGUCUUCGUAUUGAUGGCAAAUGCAAUACUAGGAGUCGGAUGUCAUUCUACACUGGCAUUGGGAUACAUCAAUUAUUUCCCGAUGGUAAACUAGGGCAGGAAAUAGAGAUACAAGGCUUCCCUGAUGGUGCCAAGCUCAAUUUUGUCACCUGGUCACAAGAUGGGAAGCAUCUAGCCUUUAGUAUCCGAAUUGAUGCGGAGGAUAGUAGUAGCAGUAAGCUUAGAGUUUGGGUAGCUGAUGUGGACACUGGAAAAGCUAGACCACUGUUUCAGUCACCUGAUAUCUAUCUAAAUGCAAUUUUUGAUAAUUUCGUUUGGGUAAACAACUCUACUUUGUUAGUUUGCACCAUCCCUUUAUUACGAGGAGACCCACCAAAGAAACCUUUGGUUCCCUUAGGCCCGAAGAUGCAAUCUAAUGAAAAAAGAGAUAUUAUUCAAGUUAGAACCUUCCAGGAUUUGCUAAAGGAUGAGUACGAUGAAGAUUUGUUUGACUACUAUGCCACCACACAGCUUGUUUUGGUUUCUUUGGAUGGGACAGUAAAAGAAAUUGGGCCUCCAGCUGUAUAUACGUCACUGGACCCAUCCCCAGAUGAGAAGUACAUUUUGAUUAGCUCAAUUCACAGGCCUUAUUCUUUUAUAGUACCUUGUGGAAGAUUUCCGAGACAGGUAGGAGUGUGGACAACUGAUGGAAUAUUUGUCAGAGAACUUUGUGAUUUGCCCCUUGCUGAGGACAUUCCCAUUGCAUUCAAUAGCGUCCGAAAAGGAAUGCGAUCAAUCAAUUGGAGAUCAGAUAAGCCGUCAACACUAUACUGGUAUGUAUCUCAAUUCAAUGUGUGGAUAAAUGUGCAUGAAUAUUAGUGACUGCUGAUUAUGAAUUGUGAAAAAUCUUAGCUAACUAUCAGAUUCUACUGGGGUUUCUAGGGCAGAGACACAGGAUGGAGGUGAUGCAAAAGUAGAAGUUACUCCACGUGAUAUAAUUUACACACAGCAAGCAGAACCUGUACAAGGUGAAGGACCAGAGAUCUUACACAAACUCGAUCUUCGCUAUGGGUAUGAAUGUGGGCUUUGUGUUUAGACAAAGUUUUUCUGCAUAAUUAUCUCCUGAUAGAUAUUUAGAGAAAAAUGGAUCCACUGAAAACAUCAUUGAGCUUCCUUUCAUGAUAUUCAUGGUGUGGUGUGUGUGUGUGUGCGUAUUCUGAGGACUUUUCAAACCUCAGAAUUUCCCAGUUAAGUAUGGAAUACCAGAGAUCAGGUCAACACUAGCCAAAUUGGACGAGGUUCCCAUUCUUGUGAACUCAAUCAUAACUUUGUUGUGUGCAUUUAAAUUGCUCUGUAUAAUCUUUAAACUUGCUUUGCCAAUCUACCUAAGUUUUAACCCAGGAAUUUGUUUUGAUAUAUGUGAUCUUGGCGUUAUCCCAGAGGGAUUUCUUGGUGUGAUGACUCGCUGGCACUAGUUUAUGAAUCUUGGUAUAAAACAAGGCGAACAAGAACCUGGGUAAUAUCUCCUGGAUCUAAAGAUGUGGCUCCACGCAUACUGUUUGAUCGGUCAUCAGAAGACGUAUAUUCUGAUCCUGGGUCACCCAUGAUGAGAAGAACAUCCACUGGGACUUAUGUGAUAGCAAAGAUUAAAAAGGAAAAUGAUGAAGGCACUUACAUUUUACUUAAUGGAAAUGGCGCUACGCCAGAAGGGAACAUCCCCUUUCUUGAUUUGUUUGACAUGUAAGCUCUUUAAAUCUCUGACUCUCCCUUCUUGUAUUGUGUUACCCCCUGCCAUAGUUAUCUAAACCAAAUUCCAUCAGAAAUACAGGAAGCAAAGAACGAAUAUGGGAGAGUGACAAGGAAAAAUACUACGAGACAACUGUUGCUUUAAUGUCUGACCAGACUGAAGGAGACUUGUAUCUUAAUCAGUUGAAAAUACUGACUUCAAAAGAGUCAAAAACUGAAAAUACCCAGUAUUACAUCCAGAGCUGGCCAGAUAAGAAAUCUUGCCAGAUUACCGAUUUUCCUCACCCAUAUCCUCAGUUGGCAUCAUUGCAGAAAGAGCUGAUCAAGUACCAGAGAAAAGAUGGGGUUCAACUUAGUGCAACAUUAUAUCUACCCCCAGGCUAUGAUCCAUCAAAAGAUGGCCCUCUUCCAUGUCUGUUCUGGUCUUACCCUGGAGAAUUUAAAAGCAAAGAUGCUGCUGGACAAGUUCGUGGUUCUCCUAAUGAAUUUCCGCGCAUAGGUUCAACAUCAGUCCUUCUUUGGCUGGCUAGAGGGUACUGCCUUUGGUUUUCUGUUGUAUCCAUUCUAUGUUUUCCUACUACACAAAUUUUUGAUACUUAUAUAUGGAGAAGCUAGAUCAAGUUGUAAUUAAAUUCUCAUCCUGCAGGUUUGCCAUCUUAGGUGGUCCGACAACUCCUAUUAUUGGCGAAGGUGAUGAGGAGGCAAAUGAUAGGUAUCAUAUACUGCAUAUUUGAAUAGGGUCUAGCUGUCAUUCAUAUGGAUAAUUUAAUUGUUUGUAGCAUCUAAUGUUUCCCAUUAUUUAACUGGGAAAAAGAAGGGGUACCUUGAUAGAUGGUUCUUCGGUUGGAAGUAAAUAUGCAUAAUUCAUGUCAAAUUACUGCCUUCCCCCAUUGGGAUAUUCUGUGGAAUGCUGUAUACAAAAUUUUAUAUUAGUGUUCUAUGCACUAUUUAACCAAUUAAUUGAUUAGGUUUGUGGAGCAAUUGGUUGCAUGCGCAGAGGCUGCUGUUGAGGAAGUUGUUCGACGUGGAGUAAGCCUUUUGACCUUUUGUAUGGAUCCUACAUCCAUACCGCUGUGGUGUUGACUAAAAUAUUUUUACAGAUAACUUUUCUGGUGCUGUGCUUGUUCAGGUGGCUCAUCCAAGCAAAAUUGCUGUUGGAGGACAUUCCUAUGGAGCAUUCAUGACUGCUAACCUGCUCGCACAUGCCCCCCAUCUUUUCUGUUGUGGAAUUGCUCGUUCUGGAGCUUACAACAGAACACUUACACCUUUUGGUUUUCAGGUAAAGGCAUAACCAUCUUCCCUUUCCAUCUUUAACAAAAGACCCUUUUAGUUUCUCCUUGGUUCUGUUUCAUCUUCCUUUUCCAUCUUUAACAAAAGACCCUUUCCAUUUCUCCUUAGUUCUGUUUCUUACUUUGAUGUAAAUAUGAUUUCCUCCAUGUUAACUGGUGUAGAAUGAGGACAGAACUCUUUGGGAGGCUACCAGUACUUAUGUAGAGAUGAGUCCUUUCAUGUCCGCAAAUAAACUUAAGAAGCCAAUCUUGCUUGUCCACGGAGAAGAAGACAAUAACUCGGGAACGUUAACCAUGCAGGUCAUUUGAAAGCUUCUUCUAUCUUGUUUUUCACCAGCUACAAGAGCCCAUCAGCUAAUUAAAAAUCUCAAUAUUUUCAGCAGGAGUAAUCUCAUUUAUCUCAAUAUUUGGCUUUGUUUGUUUGACUUUGAGCAAGUGUAAUAAAUUUAUAGCUGGCUUUUUGUUGCUUACUUUUGCAUUUACACAUGAUGCAGUCGGAUCGAUUUUUCAAUGCUCUGAAAGGUCAUGGUGCUCUUUGUCGCCUAGUCAUUCUUCCCUUUGAGAGUCAUGGCUACGCUGCACGUGAGAGCAUCAUGCAUGUUCUUUGGGAAACUGACAGAUGGCUGCAGAAAUAUUGUGUGUCAAACACUGCUGAUCGUAGUACAGACCUCAAGGUGAGUAAAGAUGAUGAAAGCAAAGGUGCUCCACAUUUACAAAACAAAACAGUUGCUGCUAGUGGAGGCGGAGGCACAGAAGCAGAUUUUGAGCAUGAUGGAUGUCAUUUGGCUCCGAGGUCAUCCUUAUGGUAAUUUAUUUAUUUUCCAGUAUAAAAAUAGAGUAUUAUAAUAUAAAAGGUUUUCCUAUCCUUGGUCCAUGAGCUACUUUUGAUGCCCUCAUUCCUGUGACAAUGACUCUCUCCACAACCCCCACCCCCCCCCAAAAAAAAUUAUUUUAUUUUUAUUUUACUGUCUUGCUUUUAAGUGGUUUCGAAAUGUCUGGCACAAUAUUCUUGGUUAACUAGCAUAAGUGUCAGAAGUAUUGAAAUGUUUUUUAAGGUAUGGAUAUGAUUGUGGCUAGUCAGUUAUUUGUAUUAAGCUAUUGUGUAGAUUGAAUUGGCUGAUGCUUGCGGCGGACUACCUACAAUUGGAGCAGCAACCCAUGGAUGCCACAGAAUGGGCACGACCAAUGGAUACCAGGCUGAGCAGUGCAGAUUGCUCGCUCUGAAACUUCUGCAUCGUCAAUUUAAACCUUUUAGAAGCACAAUAAAAUGUAAUGAAAAGACCAUUUGUUAUACCAGAAUCACGAAACCCCACUGAUCAGAUGAGUAGCAGCAAGAUUACCUGACAACACUAAUUAAGCGCUCUUUUUUGGUUCACCUCCUUUUCAAAUACUUAAUAACACUGAUUAUUCUGACAGAGGAUCGAAAGGUUGUGAAUAUAGUAUAAUGGCUAUAAAUUAAUACUUAUAAAUUAACUACUUCUAUUAUAUAAUAAUUUCUUGCGAUCCUGAUUUGGGUAGGCUAAAUUAAUAGUUUCGAUAAAUUAAUGAGAUAACACUUUUUUUUCUGAAAAUUCUCAUAAUAAUAGAUAAAUAUCUACCGUUCCCUUAAUGUUGGGUAUUUUAUUAUUAUUUUUUUAUGUAGCUUUCCACCUAAAAUUUAUAAAAUGUAUUGCUUUUUUACUUUUUUGUUAACAUCGUUAGAAGAUUGAACAGAAUAUUGAUAAAAUUAUUAUUUUGCCCUUGAAUGUUUUAAAAAAAUAACUUAUUGGUUGUUGUUUUUAGAUACUCUUGGAACGUGUUGUAUUUUGGAUAAUAGCAAGAAAUUGUAAAUUCUAAGUUCCCCAUAAGUGAUUUUAUGUUGUUAUUUUUUAUUGAUGGGAACAAAGUAUAAUAUUGAAAGUUUCUCACAAUUGGUUUCAUGAUUAUUUUGAACGCAUUUUGGAUAUCUAUAAUUGUUUUUAUUAAUGAUUUAUUAUUGUUAUUGAAGAGAUGUAUUCACGAUAGAAUAUAUGAGCACCAGGUUCUGAUUUUUGUUGUGAAUGAGUUACAAAUUAAUUAGGGUGCUUAUUUCGGUGAUUUUUUAUCUUCAAAUUAAUAAUUUUGGUAAAUUUAUAUAGCUAGUUUUGUAGCCGUUAUUGGUUCCAACAACUACAAAAAGAAUUUUAUUUUGUCAUUUCUUUUUAUGUUCAAGGGCAAAAUAAUUAUUAUUUCAGUGUUAUGUAAAAUCCUCUAUGGUGUUAAUGGAAAAAAGUAAAAAUGAUACACUUUGUAAACUUUAGGUAGAUAGCUGAUAAUAAUAAUUAAAAAAAUAUAUUAUUAUUAUUAUAAAAAUAAAAAUAAAAAUAAAAAUUUAAAAUUAAAGUUUCGGAGUUUUUUUAAUAAAGAGUGAAACAAUAGUGGUCAAUGAAUGUUUUUGCAUUAAUAAUUUGUUAAAAUAAAAAAUAUAAUUGACUAUAAUAUUUUAUUAAAUAAAAUAGUACUUUAUUAAUACUUGUUUUUUCUUGAAAACUUUAUUGAUACUUGUUUUUUCUUGAAAUUUAUAUAUAUAUUGGAUCUUAUCUCUAAUUUUUUUUUUUAUUGCAUUUACAAGUUCUUGAGUUGAAUUCUAUAAUUUACCAUAAAAAAUUAUGAAGUGGGUGCUUUCAUGUGCGUAACAUGCUGCAUCAUCUUUAAAUUGAUAAAAUACAAUAAAUUUUUAGUUGAUUAAUUGUAUGUUUAUUGAACGGUAAAUACACUUUAUAAAUUAAUAACUUAUUAAUUUAUCUAUUAAUUAAUAAAUUUUAUAUAAUUCCAAAUAAUAUUAAUUUAUGGAAGUUAUACUCUACUUAAAUUUGUUUCUGACAAUCAGUAUUCAGUGGUAGUGAACUUAAAUAUUGUUGGCCGCUUUAUUUGUAUAAAGAAAAUAGAACGAGCAAUAGAAACCACAGGCGUGCUUUUACUCGUAUUAUAUAGAAAGCAUAGUCGUGCUUUUACCCGUCUUUAAGUACGUUAAGCUGUAUUAAAAAAAAGUACGUUAAUCUCGCCCAGUGUCAUUUGGCUGUGGCCAUACCUAGCUUAGUACAUCAGAAGCGAUUACUAUGGAUGAAAUAAUAAUAAACUCUCAGAAAUGGCUAUGGCUAGCUUUUCGGUAACAGAAGCGAUUAUUAUAGAUGAAAUCGUGAUUAACUCUUAAAAAAUACAGCUGGUUAGCAGAUUGAUUACAGAACACUGAACUCUUUCGAUGUACGCCAUUGUCUGUGCCAUCUGAAAAUCCCAUAAUUCAAAAAACUAUUCACUUAUCUCGAACACGAUACUCUCCACCAAAAGCAAAAGGAAAAUUAUUGAGCAUGAUUGUAUUCUCAACAUUUCUCUCAAGAGCAUCAUAACAAUGGCCUAACUAUCAGGAUAUUUCCUGAGCUGUCUAUAACAUUCAAAUUGCCUGCCUGUGCCUUCACCGCUAAACCCAUAGAGCAAGAGACUACAAAGUGAACAACUAACUCAAUGGAGUUAAGCUUGUUGCACUCAAAAGAAUGUAUUUCUUGUUCCAGACGUGCAAAUUUGUCAUUCACAAACAUAACAGGUGACAAACUAAGAACAUCUCAAAUAAAGUAAACAAGACAGAUAAUGCUUGAUGAAGAGAACCAAGAAUCUUUACAAUUUCAUAACCAACAAUCAGUCAAGUCUCAGAAAAGAAAAUUUAUUUGUUGAAAACCCAAACUAUGGAAGAUCAUGUGAGAUCUAGGCGCCAAAUAAGGAGAAUCCAAAUUAUCAGAGUACCAUUGAAGCCAUCCACAUCAUCACCGUGAUAACGUAAACACUUUAUUCUUCUACAACAACGCUAACUUCACCUUUCUCUAGCAAGUCAUAAAAUACCCUUGACUUUCUUUGAUUAUUCCACUGAUUCAUCUUCCAAAGACCACCAGCAGCCAGCCCCAGUGUAAUUCCUAAACAUAUCUCCUUGACAACGCUUGGACCUUUCAAGGUGGCAUGAGCAAUCUUGUGGCCAGCCAUUUCACUUCUAGUUAAAUGCUAUAAACCUACAUUCAAGAAACACAGGAUUUUCCCCUGUUAGUAGGAAAAGAGAAAUCCCAAGAAACUUUAUAUGUGAAUCAUAGUAAGAUAUAGAAAGACAAGAUGGCAACAACUACAUAUGAGAACCCAUCAACUACUAAAAAGUUACAACCACUGCCUGCUUGUACCAUGCUCAUGGCUUGUCACAUAUUUGAAGCAAAACUCCUACACAAAUACUGAAAUGAUAUUGCUCGAGCCCGUCUGCCGAAGCAUUCUGGAACUUAGCUCAACUUCACUUAACUAGAUCCCUAUGUUUAGAAACCAUAUGGCUCCCUAGAAACUAUAUGGCUCCCAAUAUAACUAUGUUUAGCAUCACUUUCUGUAUAAUAACCAAAGCUGAGGAUUAGAAAGCCUAUUAAUUACAUCAUUUCUUAACAAACUUUUCCUUUAACUCAGACCAAGCUUUUCAUUACAAUCAUUCAUAAUAUCAUCAACAAUGUAAAACACCAUUUUAGUAUUUGAUGCCAACAUCUGUUUUUCACAUGCUUCACAAUCCGCAAAUAAAUAAAUACAUUCUAUAUUACUUUAUUGCCAUGUCACAGCAAAGAACGUCUAUACAUCAAAGUCAUUUUCUGGGUAAAUGAAAUCCAACCGGACCAAAGUUCAAUGACAUGAUUAUAAAAGUAAUUAAAAAGCAAAAACAACUGUACCAACCAAAAUUUCAAAGAGUAUACAACCUAAUCAAACAAAUGCCUCGUGAGAAUUAUCAGGCUCUUGAAAAGUCUUGAUAAUCCUGCUUUUUCUGUUAUUUCAUAAAAUAAAUAGUAAAAGCAAACAGACGAUAGGAUAUGAUAUGAUUGUUUGACAAAAAAAGGCUCUUUUUAACUAAAUCGAAAUAAUCCUGAAUAAAGAAAUCAUUAUUUAAAUAAAAAUAUUAUAAUAACUAUGGUCUACGCUAGGAAAACUAGAGAUGAUCACAGAUCUCAGCCAUAUUACGAACGAUACGACGACGCUUCAAUCAUAUAUACACACACGAGUAAAUCGAAAUAACAGUUAACAGAUAUAAAGAGCCAGAUCUUAUGAGAGAGAUUAAACGAAUAUAAGAUUAUGAAACAACUGAAUGAAGAAAGAGAGAUGGAAGGGGGGUUUACCCGGGCGGAGACGAGACCGAUUAAGCGAAUAGCACGAGUCAGAUUGAGCACAAUAACAGAAGUGAGGACCUCAUUGCCUAUUGGGUUUUAUGUCUUCUGAUACAUCAAAUUCCUAUUUUGCCCCUGUUUGCGUGGCGUUACUAAUGUAAUUUCGGCCAAGACAAUUUUCGAAGUGGAGUGUUUGUUUGGUGACAUUACAGCGUUCUGCACCGAGGUUGGAAUAGCAUAACCGCAGCUUAUAGGUUUGUGUUGGUAACAAAUGUUUUGCGCCCCAAUGUCCAUAUUUUUAAUGACAAAUUUAUGUGUACCUUUGGAUUGAUUGAGGUUGAAUAGUUAUAGUUUAAAAGUUACAGUAUUAAAGUGUUUAGUAAACAUUAGCUACUGCAGCUAAGAAGUUAAAUUGAUAUGAUUUUUCACUUGUAUAAUGAAAAUUCUAUUAUAUCUUUAAUAAUUUUAUUAAAUUAUUAUUUAAAAUUUACAUGUAUUAUAUAUUAGUAACUUUUGUUUCAUAGUUAUAGUUUUUUCUCCACAACAACUGUAGCUUUUAACAACUUAAUCCCAAACACAUCCUAUAUCAAACUGAGAAUAUGUAAUAUGCAAUUCAACGUGAUUAAAUAAAAUAUUAUUGUAAACUAUUAUUUAAUUUUUAUAAAUUUAGAUUGAGAUUUGAUUCUGUCGUGUGCAUUAUUAAAAUUAAUUUUCUCUAAAUAUUUAAAAAUAUAUGCGGUCCAUUGAGUACUCAGAUAUAUGUCAUCAUAUAAAUGAUUUAUUAGGAUUGUAAAUAUUAAGGUCAUGUUUGCUUGGGGGGAUAGAGGAGUGGGGAGAGGAGAAAAUUUUGAUUUCUUUUCUACUUUCCACUGUUUGGUUGGACCAAGUUUAAUAGAAUUGAAUUUCCGUCAAAAUUCAAUUUCCAUCAAAUUGAAGAAUUUGUAUUUCUUAUCAAUGAGUAAGGAUUUUAAAUUCCUCAUCUAUUGGAACACAAAAAUUCUAAUAUUCCUCUAAAUAAAAUUAAUUUUAAAUAAAUUAAAGUGCAAAUAAUUUAUAUUUUUUUCUUAAAUUAAUAGGAUAAACUUAUUUGAAAAAAAAAAAGCAGUAAAGGGACUCGCCGGAAAGUCACCGGAGACUCGCUAGAGUUUCGUCGGAGAUGCGCUUUACCAUCAAAAUCGGUACCAAUGGAAUCCUCAUGAGCCGGUCUACAACUCCAUGGGGUUAUAAAUACUAAUAUACGUUGUUAUUUACCUCAAGUCUUGUUUAAAUGCUUGAGAAAAUUUUAACUCUCAUAUUUUCCGACUGUAUAGUGUAUUUUCAGCAAAAUUAACAUUUCCAAUGAGUAAAUCGUCUAUUUUUUAUCAUUAUUAUGCAUUUUACGCGAUGAAAAAUGGUGGUCAACGGCACCGGUCAAUGUCGGUCAACUCGGGUCUAGUGGUAGUUGUCCAUGACUUGGCUGCUGUACGGCCAAGGCGGAUGUACGGUACAGCAGAAUAUUCUCAAAAAAAUUAUUUUAAAAUAAAAAAUUUAAUUAUACGGUAUUAAAAAAAUGUAAUCAUGCUUAAUUAUUAAUUAAUUAAAUUAUUAAUUAAUGUCGCAUCAAUUUUGCCUAAGGAAAUGUUUUGUGAAUUUAAGGUAAUUAUAAUUGAAAUGGGAAUAAUUUGCCCUCGAAUUAGUAAAACCCUUAUUGAAAAUACCCUUAUAAAAAAUAAGUGGCUUCCGGAAGAAUGAAUACUAUGAAAAACACCCUUAUCACGCGUUAAAAUUUUAUCUAUGUCCCAUUUAGGCCAUAAUAAAAGUUAAGAUCUAAUUAAAUGUAGCAGUCAUACCAGAAAUUUGAGAUCUAAAAUUGAGAUUGACGCAUACAAACUUAAAACCGCAAACGAAAAGAGGGCUGAGGGCCUGAAACAACAUCAUAUUGUAUUGUUUUUGGAUUUUGAUAGAGCAUGUAGAACCCACAAUCAUAAAUUAAUUUGUACGACAGCACUCAUCAGAGAAGUGAGAUCUUCUCACCAACCACUGCUCCAUCAUUGGCAUGCAAUCUUCCAACAUGAUUUUCUUGGUCACGGGAUGAUUUCAGAAAAAGGGCAUCGAAAAGUUUCAUCAUUCAUGACUUUGGACAGAAUCAUGGCCGUGCAUUUAAAGAGCGGAGCACAUUGGAAACGAACACUGCAAGGUCUGCGACCUGUAACCGGCUAGCUCAUAACAAAAAGUGCAAAAACUAAAAAUACAUAAAAGACUGAUAAAGCAGCCGCAUAAGAUGAGAAGAUCAUUGCCUGCACCUGCAGCGGUAACAUGGCCACUCAGCCACUUCAAUCCUCUUUUUCGACAUUUACAAAUGGCUUAAUGUUGAACUACAAAAUCGUGAAAUGAAAGCUACAAGAUGAUGUAGCACGCACAAUCAAAAUCAGGCAUUGUUUUCGCAUUUCAAUGUGAUUUAAAACUAGUUGCACAAAAUUAGGUACAAAAUGCACCGUACAUCCGAACACCUCUUCUACUUCCCGCAACAAAACUCGGUUGUGUUCAUGCAGCUAAGUGCUGAAUAUCAACUAUAGUAAAUGCAUCCGAUCCACAUAUGACUGGAGCAGCCAUUUAUUAAGAGGCUCCCCACACCCAACAAAGCACCCAGAAUUGCCAUUCUCAGUGAAAAAAGGGAAGCUAAACAUAUGGAGCAAUUCCUGCACAGCCUGCCUCACAAGAGAAGUUCCUGUCACCCUGCUGCGCCUCCCCCAACCAGUUACUAUAUCUAUACGACUGGGACCAACCCCUGAUAUUAGCAUUUGCUUCCGGAACCAGGCCAGUGUCCUGGAGAGGGCUAUCACAGCAGUGCCAUCUGACAUGACAUGGAGAUUUAUAAGCCAAUAAGACAUGCCUUUCUCUUUAACAGCAUCUGGGUAGACAUUCUUCAGA